UGAUGAUGAAGUGCACUCUACAUACCUGGAGUUUACAUUUGUUUUUCCUUUUCAUUAUUAUAAACUUUAUAAACCAGUUUUCCAUAACAUUGAACAAUUAAUGAAAUUAAUUAAAAUAAUAAAAAAACAUAGGAAUCUUACUCAUAUUCUUUGGUCAGAUCCUCAAGAAACUCAACUGGAUUCAACCACUAAAAGGAUAAUUUAAGGUGAAAAAAAUGGUUUAUUAAAUUCAUAGGAAAUUAUAUAAUAUCAAAGACAAGUACAAAUAUUGAAAUAUUACCUCCCACCAGAACGCACCUCCUGCUGGUUCCCAGGCUGGAUAACCACCAUUUUUACUCUGCAAUCAUUUCUAAAAUAGCUUAUAAUCCAUAUGUUUAUUUAUUUAUUUAGAUUUUUAGAGUACAUUUGAUAAUUGAGGAACGAGCAUAGGGAUACUAAAGAUUAAAUUCAUGUGUUAAUCCCAUACAAUACAGAAAUUUGUCGGCAAAUAACAAAUUUAUAAUAUAAGGACAAUUUAAAGCAUUCUAGAUUUAAUUUUUACCUCCAUGGAAAUAAAAAUAAUUUGAAAUUCAAAAUAUAUAUUUUUAAGGUUUUCUAUAUCUAUACUUUUAUCUUAAUUGAGUUGGCCUUACAGGUCAACCAGUUACUAAUUUCGUUAAAGAAACCGUUAAUUUUAUUCUACAUGUGCAUGUGUGCUUUUUUUUUUUUUUGUAACUUUUUAAAGUUGGUGACUAACAAAAAUGUUUCUAAUAGCCGGGUGACUAUUUAUGUAGUUUACCCAUAAAUUUAUUACGAAGGUAUUUUUAUCUUUCUAUAUUUUUAAUAUAUCAGUAAAAAAAAUUGAAUAUGGUGAUAUUUGAACCCAUGUCAUUAACACCUAUAAUUUCUUUUCUUUAGUGUCUUAUUUUACUGUUUCUAUACAUUCCAAUUUUGUUACGCAUUAUUUCGCCCUCAUUGUUUGUAUAUUUAUACUUAUAAACUUUUGAUUGAGUAGAUGUAAUAGGUCAACUAGUCAUAAACUCGAUUAAGGAAAUAAUGAAAAUAUCCUUCCAUGUAUAAAUAAUUUAUAUUAUUCUGAGAAUAUUUUUAUCUUUUUAAUGAAAUCAAUAAAUAAUUACGUAUGAUGAGAUUUGAAUACAUGCCAAAAACAUUUAUAAAGUUUUAUUUUGAUAUUUUUAUUGAAUAUUAGUUUUAAAGAUACUCUUACAUUUCACACACAUGUGAAAAUUUUUCUAAUUGCAAUUAAUGUUGUUUUUAACUUAGACAUUUUAUACAUUGUACCUGUAAAGAUAGAAGAACAUUGACAGCAUCAUAAAAUUGCUGUUCUUCCAUUUUCUCACCAACCAUUUCCGGUGCCAUCAUUGCAAAACUUACACAACACUGCAAAGAAAGGAACAUACAAUUCCUACGAUUAAUUUAGACUUGUGAUUAAGUCAUUCAUCUAAACAUGAAAAUUCAUUAAUAUUUUAAAAAACAAUAAUAAUGUUGAAAAACUGAGUAUCUUAAAAUUCAACAUUAAAUGUUUGAACUCAACUUAUGAACCAAUUUGAAUAUAAUCGAGUUCAUGAACAACUCUUAUUUAAUUGAAUGAAACAAAAUUUACCUUCAAACUUUCUGCAGUACAAUCAGAAACUUGCCAGCCAUGAUCUCCAUUAGAGUAUGUCCAUGAUCCUUUAGAAAUGUGUCUAAACAUUCUUUUAAAAUCUCCUGAAGGAUUAUUCCUAACCUUAAAUUUUCAACCAAUAUUUUGAACCAUCAAUUUCGAGCAAAUUGGUGAAAUUAAUCACAACUUUGUGUUGUGUAGUUAAGAAACUAUAUAUAAUGUUUAGAGUUUUGAAUUUAAGGUUCAUAUAACCUGUGAGUUCUUUAAGAAAUUGUGCCCCUUCAUAAGAGUUAGUCCAAUUUCAUCAUAUAAAUUGGUAGCAAUCAAAGCUUGGAGAAGGAGACUAGCAUCCCAAAUUUGACUUGCAAUGCCCUUCAUGGUGAAAUAUUGAAAAAAGGAGAACAUAAACUAAUUAGCUAAAAUAGUAAUGAAAAAUCAAAGUCAAUAAUUUAAUGAAAGUUUAACUAAUUCAACAAUUUUAGUGUUUUAUAAUUAACAAACCUGCAUCUUCAUUCCAUCUUCUCCAACCCAGAAAUAGUCAGCAAUCCUAGCAAGAUGUUUCUUAAAAUAAAUUCCAUUUGGAUCUUCAACCCAACAAGCAAGCAUACAUAGAAUCUGCCCAAUGUAUUAGCAAGCAUUAUAUGUUGACAAAUAUUAUUCAAAAUUAUUUAUACUUUAAUUGUAUUACCUUUAUCACACAUGCAAUGGUAAUAUAGCGACUGCUUUCAUCUUCAUAGUGAAUGAGAUCCAUUGCUACUUUAAGAGCUUUUUUUCUCAAUUUAUUAAAGGGCCAACGAUUAAGGAGAGGCUCUGAAAAUAAGUAGAGACUAUCCCAAAGCAAUAUUGGAGGCAAUGAAUGAGGAUAGUGGAGAUCUUCCUGCAUGCAAUGAAUAAAGCAUCCUUCUUUCACAUUUUUUUAUAUAAAUAAUGUAUAGAUUAUGAUUACUUUAGAGUUGUGUCUCAAAUUCUAAGAGAUUGCUUGCAAAUCAAGUUAAACAAAAUAUAUUUUCUUUCUAGAAGAUUUAGUAUUUAUUAGUAUAAUAUAUUUAGCAUUUAUUAGCAUAGUUUAUUUGACCAACUAAUUUAGCCUAUAAAUAGGUUCUUUUGCAACCUUAGAAAAUACACACAUUAGAUAUUAGAACUCAUAACACAUUUAGAGAAUUUUGUGUUUAUGUUUUGAGGGUUCUUUAUUUUCAGAUUUUCGGGAUUUAGUUUUUAUCUCAAUUUUUUGUACUUUUCGUUCUUUUGCCAUUAUAAUAAAAUUAUUUUUACCCCUAAUUUUUUUAUCCUCUUUGGAAGAUUUUUUUUACGUUAAAUUUAUAUAUUCAAAUUUUCAAUUUAUUUCAUUAUUUUUUAUUACUUGUUGCUUAAUCAUUUCCAUCCUAACAAUUACCUUUGCACAUAAAUGCCUCUUUUCGCUCCAAUCGAUUUCAUCAUAUGGUUCAGUGUGGAGUUCUUGUCUUAACUGUAAAAUCAGAGGUGUGAUUGGACCCACGAAUUUUCUUCCGUACAAAUAUGACAUUGGCAGGUAAGUUAAUCGGCAAUAACAAAGCAUCCUUGCUGCAUUCCAAUAUCGUUAAUAUAUAUACACGUACACACACAUGAAUAUAUACAAACAAAUCAUUUAUAUGGUUUGUUGCAAACCUGGAUUAAUGGGAAAAUAAGAAGGAAAGAGCCAAAAUUCUGGAGGCAUUGGGUUACAGCCUGACCAUUCAUAAACACCCAAUAUCUACGUAAAAGAAAUUAAUAUAUAUUAAUUGUUGGGUUUUUAUAGGCAUGACAUCUAUAAUAUAAGUAGUAAUUCUAUUUAGUUCGUGAUUUAAUAUGGUUAAAGCAAAUUGAACUUAUAUGUGUAUAUAUUGAUGUAACUAAUUUAUUAUUCAUCAUGAGCUAAUUAAAAAUUAAGAUUAAAGUACAAAAAUUAUAUAUUAAGAUUCAAAUUAAACAUAUAUAUAUUUUUUAAUAUUUUAUCUUUAAAAAAAUCAUUUUCUCUAAGAUAUUUAUUUGUUUGUAAAUUUGGAAAUCUUUAAAGAUUUUAACAUAUGAGUGGCUUUAGGUAUGUUCUACAUUUAGGUUUUGUUUUUAAUAAUCUAAUAUGAUAGAUUCUAAUUUAUUAAGUUUUAUAUCAUAUGUUAAUUUGUGAAGAAUAAGUUUUAUGGUAACUAAAAGAAAGAAGACAAACUGAAAGCCAAAUCUUGCCCCAAGAGGAAAUGGCAGUGACACCCCCACGAUCGAGAAUCCACUUUCGAGCUCUCUCGCAAGCAUUAUUAAGGUCACCAUCAUGUCCUACUCCCAGUAAACGCAAACAAAUGUAGUUGAGAGUUGUGCAAAGCAUUGUACUGUGCCCCCUACAUAUAAUCCCCACCCUCCAUCCUCGUUCUGCCAUGAAAAUCAAACUUUCUUUAUUUAUUAUUAUCAUCCAACCGUUUAAUACAUACAUAUAGCUAACCUUAUAUACAUAUAUAUUUAAAUUUAUUACCUGAUGACAGUAAAUAAAACGGAAAAUUUCUUUGCGAUGCUCUGCAGAAAAUAUAGUAUUGAGAUGUCCUGUGAUAUAUAGAGACAUGACCAAAGGAGGAAGAUAAAACAUGGGGCCAGAAUUCUCAGCUGGCUAAUGGCCAUGUGUUGACUGUAGAGCUGAAAAUAAGUGCACACUUCUCUUCACUGCUGCAGUUCUAACUUCAUAUGUCACUUCUUCACCAUCCUCUAUCUUUGGUUGGGGAAUGGUUUGUUGCAUCUUCUUCUCUUUUAGAAACUGCAUUCAUCAAACAUAUAAAUCAUGACAAAGAAGUCUAUUUAACUUUUUUUAUUAUAAACUGUUACAUUAAGGAAAAUGAUGUACCUGCAUUUGCCAGAGGAGAUCAGAACUAGGCUGAACAUUGUAUCGAUUGUUGUAGAAGUUAAGACGAGCUUCUUCAACCUCAGCUCGUUCUUCAGCUGUACCUGCAUUAGGAUCGAACUCCCACGUUUGUCUUCCCAGAAAAUUGUUGGUACUGUAAAGGUAGGGAUCAUUGCCACCUUCUCCUAUCUUAAGCCUCCACAUAUUCUUCCUUAAUUUUUCAUGAACAAAGUCCUCAUCUUAUAUAGGCUUUACACCACAACCACUAGUUGAUAAUAUUAAAUGAAAGAUUAAAUAUAUGACCUUUCACCACAGCCGCCAGUAUUAAAUGAAAUAUAAAAUAUAAGAAACCACAACACUAGUUGCAAUUAUUAAAGCAGAGAUAAAAUAUAAGGGGAGUUAGCAGAUGAAUUUUGAAAUUUGGAAGAGUUUGAAUAAAGAUAUUAGGUUUGGAAAAUGGUUUUGAGUAAAAAAAAAUUAGAUUUAUUUAAAAUAAGGUUUGAGUUCAGACUUAAACAUUUAAGGUUCAAGUUAGGUUCGAUCUCUUUUUUAAGUUUGUAAUAUUUUAUAUUAUAUUAUUUUUAUAUACUAUGUAAUAUAUAACACAUAAGAAUUAAAUCUAUAUUAAUAUAUAAUACUACAAUAAUCACCAAAAAAAUGCAUUAAGUAUUGAGGAUAAAAUAUGUUACUUUUGACACUUAUAAAUUAUUAAGGGAAAGAUAAAAUUUAAAGAGGAGGGGUAGAGGGUUGCCUCAAAUUUGGAAGAAUUUGAGUAGAGAUAUUAGGUUCGAAAAAUUGUCUUGGGCAAAAAAUCGUGCCCAUUUAAAACAUGGUCUGAGCUCAAACUUAAACAUUAAAGUCCAGAGCCUUGCUCGAUCCAUUUUUUAAGUUUGUAAUAUUUUAUAUUAUAUUAUUUCUAUAUACUAUGUAAUAUAUAACACAUAAUAAAUAAAUCUAUAUUAAUAUAUAAUACUACCAUAAUCUAAAUAUUAAAAAAUAUUAAGAUAAUUAUAUAUAAAAUUUUAAUAAAUAAAAAAUAUUAAAUUUAAUUUUAAUAUUUUUAAAAAUAAUAUCUGGGGACCCAAAUUAUCUAUUUGUCAAAUAUGGGUCGAUUUGGGUAAAAUUUUAGGCCCAUAUUUGGGUCGGGCUAGGCUUAUACAAGUAUAAAUUGUGUUAAUAUCAUGCUUAAGUUCGACCCAUGAACAACUCUAAGGGAGGACUUUUAAAGUUCACAUAAACAAAUAGCUAAAGACUUCUUGUCAAAAUAAUCAUAUUUUAUAGUAAAAUCAUAACUUGAGAUUAAAUUUUAUUAAGAAAAUAUUUUAAUUGAUAGAAACCUUGAGUAAUAAAAAUACAAAGAAAUAACACAUAAUAUAAAUGAUAAAUAACACACUACAAACUUAUGCACAAUUGGAAUGUUUGCAAAAUAAUUUCAAAAUAUGAGAAAGACAAACUGGUGGUACUCACAACACUAGAAGCAUUCAGAACCAAACCAAAAAUGCAACACCAUGAUCAAACCAUUGAAAAUUGUAUUCUAGCCCCACUAUCAUCAAACCAACCUAAUGAUGAACAUCGGUCAACUAAGAAACUACUUCCAAGAGCCCCAUGAAAUCUACCACAUUAAUGAUGCACAAAAAGCCAAGUCUGAAAUAAUUUAACCUCCUCAUCAUCAUCUCAGAACCCAAUUUUACAAAAACUAUCACUGUCCUUUAUCAUAAUAAGGACCUCCGAGAACUGUUCUCAAUAUAUCUGGUACUACCUUUACAUUGGAAAAUAUCAUAUAUAUGCCAUAACAUUAUUAGAAAGUAUAAACUAAAACUAAAACCACUAUAGAUUUUAGAGAAAAAUGAUGUUUUCCUUUUUUUAGUUUGAGGUCCCUAGAGUAUAAUUAUAAAUUCUUAUUUAGAUUCGAUCGGGAAAGUAGUGAGAUACAAAAAUAUUGGAUAUUAGGGUUGUUACAUACUUAAAUGUCUUUUUCACUAAUUUCAAAUUUUGUUUUGAUAAUGUCUAUGUUUUCAUAAUCAAAUUAUAAUUUUUUUUCCAAUGUAGUCAAAACUUAUGCAAGCAAAAGUCCCUGUUAAAAAUAUCAUAUACCACAGUCCAUACUUAAAUAAAAAUUACAAUCCCAAAUAAAAUUACUAAAAUAAAUAGAGUAAUUAAAAUAAACUUUGUUGCCACUAACCCGAAAUAAUAUCUCUGUAUGUAGAAUCUAAGCCUAUUCUUGAAGGUUAUCCGUAAGUAGUAAACUAGGGGGUGAGCUUAAAAAGCCCAAUGUGAAUCUAAAAAAUAUAAGCAUUUAAUAAAUCAAAUAGACAUACAAUUAUUAAAUAGUUCAACCAAUUUGUCACGACACAACUACAUAUGAAUAUGGCAUGCUAAAUGAUUCAAUCCAAUAAUCCUACUCAUUCAUCUGCUACACACCAUGAGUUCCCCAAAACUCGUCAUCUGAAUUCCAAAUAGUAAGGGCUUAAUCCCGUUGUGGUUAAAACCACCAAUAACAGUAUGCUGAUAAAACUGCAGGUAAAAAUGCCAUAAAUCACCCAAUCUCUUCAAAUCUCCGGUGCAGUGCACUAACAAUAGUAUUGAGGACUUCAAAUGUCGUUAGAUCUCCACGGAACUCCUCUGUCAACCACAAAUAUCCACCCCAUGCAGAUGUGUUAUGACAUACAAUCGAUAAGCAAAUCAUGCUGAUGCGGAACCCCGGAUCUAGACACAAGAGAAACACAAAUUAGAAAUAAAAACGAGAAUAAAUAAAAGUAGUUAAAUAAUAAUAAUAAUAAAAGGAUAGAUUUGCCUUAUGGAACCCUUGGUUAACUUGCAACCAAAAACGCCAAUGAUUGAGCGGCUCCCUACGAAACCCCUAGAAGAAGAACCUCUAGAAACACCAAUGAACGGGAAAGAAAUUUGAAUAUUUGUAACUCCAAAAUACUCUCGAAAGUAACAAACUCCAAACUAAAUAGCAAGAGAAGAAUCACUCUACUCUCAAAAAUUUGCCUCACACAAAUUUGGAAGAAAACAAAUACUCUCUUUUUUAUAUAUCCUCUAAUGUGUAGAAAACAAGCCUAUUUAUAGGCAAAUUACAAGAGUAAUUGAAUCCUAAUAAAAACUCUUUAAGGAGUAAUUGACUUUAAAAUUAUCUAAGAAAAUAAAUAAAUAAUAACCUAACAAAUAAAAUUACUUAACUCAUAAAUGAUGUGUCCCAACCAAUGAGAAUAAAGUAAAUAAUAACAAUAAGAUACAUAAAAGAUUAAUCCACCAAUUUAUGGGCUUUCACUAUUCCAAGAUUGGUCCAGUGAAUUGCAUUCCUGUAUUUGUCAAUGUCACGAACAUGAUGAAUUAAAUUUGUAGCAACAAAGUCUUGGACAAAAGCAUUCAUCUUUGAUUUUAAUUGUCGUGCCUUGCUUCGAGUGAUUGGACCACUAGGAAAAAUAACCCCUUGAGUGUCACCUCAUUGGCUCGUAUCAUUCUCCCCCUCUUCAAGAAGAUUCGUCCUCGAAUCUAAACCUACAUCAAAUUCAAAAGGAGAAAGAUCAGAAACAUUGAAAGUAGCACUAACACUAUACUCACCAGGAAGAUCAAUGCGAUAAGCAUUGUCAUUUAUUUUCUCGAGUACUUGGAAUGGUCUAUCUCCUCGUGCAUCAAGUUUUUUCUUUCUCUUAGAAGGAAAUCAUUCUUUCCUCAUAUGCACCCAUACCCAAUCUCCAGGUUCAAACAAGACUUGUUUUCGCCCUUUAUUAGCUCGAUGUGCAUUGGACUCAUUCUUUUUCUCAAUGGCUUUACGAGCCUUCUCAUGGAUCUCUUUCACUAAAUCAGCUUUCCUUUCACCAUCUAAAUUAGCAAUGUCAUUCAAAGGUAAAAGAAGCAAAUCUAAAACAGUAAGUGGAUUAAAGCCAUAUACAAUCUCAAAAGGAGUAAAACCUGUGGAAGAAUGAACAGAACAAUUAUAAGCAAACUCAACAUAGGGUAUCCAUUCUUCCCAAGAUUUAACAUUCUUACCUAUUAUGGCUCUAAGCAAAGAUCCCAAAACUCAAUUUACCACCUCGGUUUGACCAUCAGUUUGAGGGUGGCAUGUAGUAGAGUAAAGUAGUUUAAUACCUAACUUACCCUAUAACACCUUCCAAAAGUGACUAAGAAAUUUUGCAUCUCUAUCGGAAAUGAUAGUCCCUGGGAUUCCAUGUAAUCUCACAACUUCACGGAAAAAUAGAUCGGCAACAUGGGUUGCAUCAUCAGUCUUAUGGCAUGGAAUGAAAUGAGCCAUUUUAGAAAAUCGAUCUACAACCACAAAGAUGCUAUCUCGUCCACGCUUUGUCCUUGGUAAACCUAUUACAAAAUCCAUUGAAAUGUCAGUCCAAGGUGAACUAGGAACAGGAAGAGGAGUAUAUAGACCAUGAGGCAUCACAGUGGAUUUAGCUUGUUUACAAGUCAUGCAAGUAGAGCAAAUUUUCUCAACAAGUUUUCGCAUGUUAGGCAAUAAAAAUGCUCAUGUAAAACAUCAUAAGUCUUAGUGACUCCAAAAUGACCCAUAAGACCACCAUUAUAAGCCUCUCGAACCAACAAUUCUCGCAUUGAACACCUUGGUAAGCAUAGUCUAUUAUUUUGAAAAAGAUAGCCAUCAUGCUUAUAAAAUUUGUGAAAUGCACCAUGUUCACAUGUGUCAUAAAUGCUUGCAAAAUCAGAAUCAGUGGCAUAUAAAUUUUUGAGAUACUCAAAACCUAAUAACUUAGUAUACAAAGUACUAAGUAAAGUGUACCUCCUUGAUAGAGCAUCAGCCACAAUAUUAUCUUUACCUUUCUUAUAACUUAUAACAUAAGGAAAAGAUUCAAUGAAUUCAACCCACCUCGCAUGUCGCUUGUUCAACUUACCUUGUCCCUUUAAGUGCUUAAGUGAUUUAUGGUCUGUGUGAAUCACAAACUCCUUUGGUAAAAGGUAAUGUUGCCAACUUCUAAUGCCCUUACCAAGCAUACAACUCUUUAUCAUAGGUCAAANNNNNNNNNNNNNNNNNNNNNNNNNNNNNNNNNNNNNNNNNNNNNNNNNNNNNNNNNNNNNNNNNNNNNNNNNNNNNNNNNNNNNNNNNNNNNNNNNNNNNNNNNNNNNNNNNNNNNNNNNNNNNNNNNNNNNNNNNNNNNNNNNNNNNNNNNNNNNNNNNNNNNNNNNNNNNNNNNNNNNNNNNNNNNNNNNNNNNNNNNNNNNNNNNNNNNNNNNNNNNNNNNNNNNNNNNNNNNNNNNNNNNNNNNNNNNNNNNNNNNNNNNNNNNNNNNNNNNNNNNNNNNNNNNNNNNNNNNNNNNNNNNNNNNNNNNNNNNNNNNNNNNNNNNNNNNNNNNNNNNNNNNNNNNNNNNNNNNNNNNNNNNNNNNNNNNNNNNNNNNNNNNNNNNNNNNNNNNNNNNNNNNNNNNNNNNNNNNNNNNNNNNNNNNNNNNNNNNNNNNNNNNNNNNNNNNNNNNNNNNNNNNNNNNNNNNNNNNNNNNNNNNNNNNNNNNNNNNNNNNNNNNNNNNNNNNNNNNNNNNNNNNNNNNNNNNNNNNNNNNNNNNNNNNNNNNNNNNNNNNNNNNNNNNNNNNNNNNNNNNNNNNNNNNNNNNNNNNNNNNNNNNNNNNNNNNNNNNNNNNNNNNNNNNNNNNNNNNNNNNNNNNNNNNNNNNNNNNNNNNNNNNNNNNNNNNNNNNNNNNNNNNNNNNNNNNNNNNNNNNNNNNNNNNNNNNNNNNNNNNNNNNNNNNNNNNNNNNNNNNNNNNNNNNNNNNNNNNNNNNNNNNNNNNNNNNNNNNNNNNNNNNNNNNNNNNNNNNNNNNNNNNNNNNNNNNNNNNNNNNNNNNNNNNNNNNNNNNNNNNNNNNNNNNNNNNNNNNNNNNNNNNNNNNNNNNNNNNNNNNNNNNNNNNNNNNNNNNNNNNNNNNNNNNNNNNNNNNNNNNNNNNNNNNNNNNNNNNNNNNNNNNNNNNNNNNNNNNNNNNNNNNNNNNNNNNNNNNNNNNNNNNNNNNNNNNNNNNNNNNNNNNNNNNNNNNNNNNNNNNNNNNNNNNNNNNNNNNNNNNNNNNNNNNNNNNNNNNNNNNNNNNNNNNNNNNNNNNNNNNNNNNNNNNNNNNNNNNNNNNNNNNNNNNNNNNNNNNNNNNNNNNNNNNNNNNNNNNNNNNNNNNNNNNNNNNNNNNNNNNNNNNNNNNNNNNNNNNNNNNNNNNNNNNNNNNNNNNNNNNNNNNNNNNNNNNNNNNNNNNNNNNNNNNNNNNNNNNNNNNNNNNNNNNNNNNNNNNNNNNNNNNNNNNNNNNNNNNNNNNNNNNNNNNNNNNNNNNNNNNNNNNNNNNNNNNNNNNNNNNNNNNNNNNNNNNNNNNNNNNNNNNNNNNNNNNNNNNNNNNNNNNNNNNNNNNNNNNNNNNNCUAAACCUAAUAAUUACAAAUGUUUGUUUUGUACAAAGAGCAAAUUUGAUAUCUCGAAACCUAGCGAAUAAACUCACUCUCUCAUCUCGUGACUUGUGUGUGCAAUCACUCACCAAUGUUGGGCCUUUAAGUUGGCUUUUAACACUAAGGGUCUCUUUACUCUCUGCCUUUUUCAAUGAUUUGACCUCACUUCCCUUACCCAUCUCACUAGCAAGUUUGAGUUGAUCAUUGUAGACUUCUUGAGGAGGAAGUGGAGCUAAAGUAAACUUCUUUCCAAGGAACACAAAGGUAUAUUGGUUAAGGAAACCAUCAUGAUUUACUCGUCGGUCAAACUGCCAUGGCCGUCCAAGUAAUAUAUGCCCAGCUUGUAUUAGAACAACAUCGCACAAAACUUUAUUAGAGUAUCUACCAAUGGAAAAUGAAACUAAGCAUUGUUUAGAUACUUUUACCUCCCCACUAUCAUUCAGCCAUUGCAAGCAGUAUGGCCUUGGAUGCUUCACACAAGGUAGGCCAAGUUUCUCAACAAGGGAAGAACUUACCACAUUGGUGCAACUUCCACUAUCGAUGAUCAAUGAACUAGGUUGUCCACCAAUCAAACAUCUCGUGUGGAAAAUGUUAUCUCUUUGUUCGCGCCCUUCCUCUUUAAAUUGGACAUUUAAAGCCCUUCGAGCAACAAGUGCUUUCUCACCAUACUUCAAGUAUUUUUCAUACUCAUCAUGAGUAUGCACAUCAUUAGCAUCUUCCAAAGGAGGCAUCUCAUCUUUGUUAUUGGACUCAAAAUCAACCUCGCCAUCUUCUCGAAUCACCAAUGACUUUUUAUUAGGGCAUUCUUGAGCAUAGUGACCCCUUCCUUGGCAUUUGAAGUAGGUAAUAUCUUUUGGCUGCUUAAUGGCACUAGGAGAAGUAGAAGAAGAAGAUGGAGCUCGAUUAGUAGAAGUAGAACCUUUAAAUGAAUUAGGCAUACAUCUAUCUUUGGAGUAAGUUCUAGGCUCAUUUGGCUUGAACCGUGCAUCUCUCUCAUUCUACAAUCUAUCAUCUUGUUUUUGCCAAUUUCCUCUCCAAGCAGGAUUAGAAACUGAACUAGCACCCAUCGGUGUCCCUUUCUUUCAUAAUUACUUUUUAAUGGUGAGUGCGGUUUGAAGCAUCUCUUCAACAUCCAUGUAGUGUUGUAACUCAACUCGAUUUGCAAUCUCAGGCUUUAGGCCGGUAAGGAAUCUAGCCAUAGUCACCUCAGCCUCUUCAACAAUAUUAGCUCUAAUCUGAAUAGUCUCCAUCUCUUUGUAGUAGUCAUCCACAGAUCUAUCUCCUUGAACAAGAUGUUGGAGUCUUUGAUGGAGUUCUCGAGAAUAGUAUGGUGGAACAAACCGUUUUCGCAAGAUGCGCUUCAUUUCAACCCAAGUAGUAACAGGUUGCUCUCUAUAAAGAAUCCUGCUUUUACAUAAUUGAUUCCACCAUGUUAGUGCAUAAUUAAUGAACUCAGCGACAGCGUAUGUUACCUUUUUCUCAUCAGAGUAAUUGUAACAAGCAAAGACUGCUUCCAUCUUUUCCUCCCAAUCAAGGUAAGCAUCAGGAUCAUUCUUCCCUAAAAAAGAAGGAAAUUUUGGUUUGGGGGUGUCAUUGUUUCGCUCCAAUCUUUCUCUAGGUACAUACUCGGACUCAAAGUCAUCAUCAAAAACAUGGUCCUCCCUUCGUUUAAAAGUUCGAUCUCGUGAAUUUGAUCGGCUUAUAAAGCCUUCGUUCAACUUCUUGUAAUUAUCGGCAAUGUAUCUCUCUUGAGUUGUAAGUUUUGUAUCAAGAUACUCCCUUUGCUCUUGUAACAUCUGGGUCAUGCGAUGUUCGAAUUGAGUUUACAACUUUUUCAUCUCUUUUUGUAACAACUCGACCAAAGGAUCGUUCUCUCUUUUUUGCUCAUCCUCUUCAUUUUUACUAGUUUGGGAUCUAGUGAUCGACAUGGUAUCUGUGAAAAAAUCACACAAACAGGAACAAGAAAGAAAAAAUAAUAAUAACCUCACUCGUUAGCUCUCAAAAGAAUAACUCUCUGAAUGAUUCAAAACUUGUAAAUAUGUUUGGAGAGGGUUACUAAUCAAGAUCAAAUAACGGAGGUGCAAACUUCAAAGAAACAAUGAAGAUCCUAAUUGCUUUAAGAGGCCAAUAAACUUGACGAGGCAAUUUGUAAUGGAGGCUACACGGAUGAAAGAAUUGUGCGUGCUUUUAAUAUCUGCUAACACAAGAAGAAACAAAGUGUUAGAAAGUGUAAGAGAAAUAAAAAACGUAGACCUGCAACGAUCCCUAGCUCUAGAGUUAAAGAAAAGCUUUAAUAAGAAGAAAACUUAAGAAAACUCUACCCAAUUUAAAAAAAAAACAAAACAAAAAUCAGAAACGUUCGGUGUCUUAAGAUUUUCAAAAAAAAAAUUGAAGCUUUAAUUAUACUUGAGUCAAGAAAAGAUGAAGGAAAAGAAAUUCAAUUUUGGGAAAAAAAUAAAAAAUAAUAACAAUAAUAGGAAAAGAAGAAACCUACGUAUGAAAGGUAGGUAACUUUUUUUUGUGCUUUUUUUGCGCUUUUUGCUUCUUCUUUUUUUCUUUUUCUUUUUGUUGUUUUUUUUAAAGAAUAAGAGGAGAAUAAACACAAACUUCAAAAAAAAAAAAGAAUCGACAAAACCGAUGAAAAGUGUUUUUGGUAUUUUGACUCGUUUCGGAUUUGAUUUUAGCUUCAAAAAUAACAUCGAAUAGCUUGAGACUGAUACCAACUGAUGCGGAACCCCGGAUCUAGACACAAGAGAAACACAAAUUAGAAAUAAAAAUGAGAAUAAAUAAAAUUAAUUAAAUAAUAAUAAUAAAAGGAUAGAUUUGCCCUAUGGAACCCUUGGUUAACUUACAACCAAAAACGCGAAUGAUUGAGCGGCUCCCUACGAAACCCCUAGAAGAAGAACCUCUAGAAACACCGAUGAACGGGAAAGAAAUUUGAAUAUUUGUAACUCUGAAAUACCCUCGAAAGUAACAAACUCCAAACUAAAUAGCAAGAGAAGAAUCACUCUACUCUCAAAAAUUUGCCUCACACAAAUUUGGAAGAAAACAAACACUCUCUUUUUUAUAUAUCCUCUAAUGUGUAGAAAACAAGCCUAUUUAUAGGCAAAUUACAAGAGUAAUUGAAUCCUAAUAAAAACUCUUAAAAGAGUAAUUGAAUCCUAAUAAAACUCUUUAAAAUUAUCUAAGAAAAUAAAUAAAUAAUAACCUAACCAAUAAAAUUACUUAACUCAUAAAUGAUGUGUCCCAACCAAUGAGAAUUAAGUAAAUAAUAAUGAGAUACAUAAAAGAUUAAUCCACCAAUUUAUGAGCUUUCACUAUUCCAAGAUUGGUCCAGUGAAUUGCAUUCCCGUAUUUGUCAAUGUCACGAACAUGAUGAAUUAAAUUUGUAGCAACAAAGUCUUGGACAAAAGCAUUCAUCUUUGAUUUUAAUUGUCGUGCCUUACUUCGAGUGAUUGGACCACUAGGAAAAACAACCCCUUGAGUGUCACCUCCUUGGCUCGUAUCACAUGCUUUCAAUCACGAUUGUCGAAACCUUUUUGGGAAUCAACUUUUUAUUUUAAAAACAAAGAUUGAGUUACCACCAAUCCAAGUUUUAUGGUAAAUAAAAGGAAGAAAACAUACUGAAAGCCACAACAUACUGAAAGCCAAGUCUUAUCCAAGAGCAAAUAGUAGUGACACCCCCACGAUCGAGAAUCCACUUUCGAGCUCUCUUGCAAGCAUUAUUAAGGCCACCAUCAGGUCCUACUCCCAGUAAAUGCAUACAAAUGUAGUUAAGAGCUAUGCAAAACAUUGUACUCUGACCCCUAUGUAUAAUCCCCAUCCUUCAUCCUCGUUCUGCCAUGCCAAAACAAACUUUCUUUUUUUUUUAUUAUCAAUCCACCAUUCAAUACAUAUAUAUUUAUAUUUAUAUUUAUUACUUGAUGAUAGUAAAUAUAAUGGAGAAUUUUUUUACGAUGCUCUGGAGAGAAUAUAGUAUUGAGAUGACUUGUGAUACAUAGAGAUAUGACCAAAGGAGGAAAACAAAGCAUGAAGCCAGAAUUCUCAGCUGGCCAAUGGCCAUGUUUUGAUUAUAGAGCUGAAAACAAGUGGACACUUCUCUUCACUACUGCAGUUGUAACUUCAUAUGUCACUUCUUCACCAUCCUCUAUCUUUGGUUGGGGAAUGGUUUGUUGCAUCUUCUUCUCUCUUAGAAACUGCAUUCAUCAAAUAUAUAAAUAAUGAUAAAUAAGUUGUUAGAAUUAAGUGACCCGAAUCCUUAUUUAAAUAAAAUACAGUGGUAAAAUAAAAAAAAGUAAAAUCCCUAUAGAACUAUACUUCUUUUAUUUUAUUUUAGAAUAAGGUUUUUUAAACCUUAUUAAACUCCAUCUAUUUGAUAUUGAUUAGAACAAGGUGUUUCAAUCUUACUACACUCUUAUUAGAAUAUGGUUUCACAAGCUUAUAAAAAGACAUAGUCUACUCCUCUUAUAAUCAUUCGAAUUCGACAUAGUGAAUUAUCUUCUCCCUGCCCGUGGUUUUUUCCCGAAAGGGUUUUCACGUAAAAUCUGUGUGUUCUUUAUUUCUCUCUCUCUCCUUUUCUUUACGAUAUAUUGUCAUUAUCGAUAUUUUAUUUUUACAAAUUGGUAUCAGAGCUUUUGGGUUAUUCAUCUCAAUCACGGUAAUGGUGUCUUUGAAGUAUGAAAUUCUGCUGUUGGAUUACAACACCUGAUUCGCGUUGUGGCAGAUAAAGAUGCAGGCAAUUCUUGCACAGAUAGACUUAGAAGGGUAGAUAAGAUGCCUUCAAUGUUAACUUAGUUGCAUCUGCAUUUGUCUAAUGAAAUUUUGCAAGAUGUGAUGAAGGAAAAGACCGCCACUGGAUUAUGGACGAGGUUGGAACAAAUAUGUAUGUCGAAAACUCUAACUAGCAAGCUGCAUAUGAAACAACGUCUUUAUACUCAUUGUUUGGAGGAAUGUGCAUCUGUGCACGAACACUUAACAAUGUUUAAAAAGAUUCUCUUAAACUUGGGGGCCAUAGAGAUUUAGUAUGAUAAAGAAGAUCUAGGGUUGAUUCUACUUUGUUCGUUGCCCCCGUCUUAUUCAACCUUUAGAGAUACGAUUUUAUAUAGCCACGAGUCUCUCACAAUUGAUGAGAUUUAUGAUUCUUUAACCUCGUAUGAUAAGAUGAAGCAUCUUGUGGUUAAAACCGACUCUCAGAGAGAGGGUCUCAUUAUUUGUGAAAGACAAGAUCGGAAUGCUGAUGAUGAUCGUGAAAGGACAUAGGAACGGAAUCCUUGCGGUAAAUCUAAGGGUAGAUCGAAGUCUUCAAACAGAGGUAAAACUUGUAACUUCUACAAGAAGAAAGGACACAUUAAAUCUGAGUGUUAUAAGCUACAAAAAAGAUCAAAAGGGAGGCUACGAAUCAAAAUAGAAAACAACCAGAAAAUUUUGGUAAAGCUGAUAUUGUAAAAGACUACAGUGAUGGUGAAUUCUAGUCGCUUCUGUCAAUAAUUCUAAAGUAAGCGAGGAGUGGAUCCUUGAUUCAAGCUGCACCUUCCACAUGAGUCCCAAUCGGGAUUGGUUUACAACUUACAAAACAAUAUCUGAAUGUGUAGUUUUGAUGGGAAAUAAUGCUUCAUAUAGAAUUGCAGGUGUUCGAACAGUUAAAGUUAAGAUGUUUGAUGGAGUUGUUAGGACACUUAAGGACGUACGACAUGUUCCAGAAUUGAAGAUAAAUUUAAUUUCGUUAAGUACUCUUAAUUCAAAAUGGUACAAAUACACAGUUGAAAGUGGGGUUUUAAAGAUUUUCAAAGGUUCUCUCAUUGUGAUGAAAGGGCAAAGAAUGCCAAGUUAUAUGUUUUGUAGUGUUUUACUGUUACUGGUGAUGCAGCUAUCGCAUCCUCUUCCUUGUUAAAUGAUGAUAUUACUAAAUUUUAGCAUAUGCACCUAGGGCUUAUGAGUGAGAAUGGCAUGGAAGAAUUAAGCAAAAGAGGACUUCUGUGCGCACUGCUUUUUUGGGAAGCAAAAGAGAGUUCGAUUCACCAGAGGAAUCCAUAACACAAAGGGAACAUUAGAGUAUAUUCAUUCUAAUUGGUGGGGCCCAUCCAGAGUGCCUUCGAGAGGUGGAGCUAAUUAUAUGCUAACUUUUAUUUAUAAUUUUUCUAGAAAAAUUUGGGUGUUCUUCCUGAAGCAGAAAAGUGAUGUGUUUUCCGCAUUUAAGUCUUGGAAAACUAUGAUUGAAAAACAGAUGGGAAAAUAAAUAAAAUAUCUCUGCACAGACAAUGGCUUAGAGCUCUGUUCUGAUGAGUUUAAUAAACUGUGCAAGUUAGAAGGGAUCAUGAGACACUUGACAGUUCGUCAUACUCUACAGCAAAACGGCGUUCCAGAACAAAUGAACAGAAUGAUCAUGGAGAAGGUUCGAUGUAUGUUGUCAAAUGCCAACUUACCAAAGUCAUUUUAGGCCGAAACAGCCUCUACUGCAUGUUUUUUUAUCAACCGAUCUCCAUCCGUUGCCAUUGAGAAAAAAACUCCACAAGAGGUAUGGUCUGGUAAUCCUGCUAACUAUUCUGAUUUAAAGCUUUUUGGGUGUUCUGUGUAUGCUCAUGUUGAUAAUGGAAAAUUGGAACCGAGAUUCAUUAAAUGUGUUUUUCUUGGUUAUAAAGCUAGUGUAAAAGGGUAUAAGUUAUGAUGUACUGAAAAUAGAAAAGUUGUGAUUAGCAAAGCUGUUGUUUUUGAUGAAACUGCUAUCCUACCUAACUCAUAUCUUAAAGACUCUUCCAAUAAAGAAAAUCAAAAGCAGGUGGAGCAUCAGAUUAAUCCAGAAUCUACAAUAGAGUCGACUCCUCAAGUCAGUACAAAAAUUCAAAAUAGAGUUGCUUAUUCACCACAAUACUCUAUCGCCAAAAAUAGAACUAGAAGAGAAAUUAAACCUCCAAAGAAGUAUGCCAAGGCUGAUCUAGUUGCUUAUGCUUUAAAUGUGGCUGAAGAUAUAGAUGCAAACCAAGAGCCAUCUAAUUAUUCUGAUGCGGUUAGCUGCGAAGACUUAGAAAAGUGGAUGUUUGCUAUGCAAGAGGAGAUGGAAUCACUCCAUAAAAACAAAACAUGGGAUCUUGUGAAACUUUCUAAAGGUAAAAAGGUUGUCUGUUGUAAAUAGGUGUUUAAAAAGAAAUAGGGGACUCUAGGAGUUGAAGAACCCCAAUAUAAAGCAAGGCUUGUUGCAAAGGGUUACAGUUAGAUUCCAGUAGUGGACUUCACAGAUGUGUUCUCCCCAGUUGUGAAGCAUAGUUUGAUUCGAGCUUUGCUUGGUAUUGUGGCCAUGCAUGGUUUGGAGCUUGAGCAGUUAGAUGUAAAAACUAUAUUUUUGGAGAGAACUUGAGGAGGAUAUUUACAUGAAACAACCAGAGGGUUUUACAAUCUUAGAAAAAGAGGACUAUGUUUGCUUGCUAAAAAGUCCAUUUACGGUUUGAAACAGUUACCAAGACAGUGGUACAAGAGGUUUGAUUCCUUUAUGACUUCUCAUGAUUUUAAAAGAAGUAGCUUUGACAGUUGUGUUUACUUUAAGAAAAACAGUGAUGGUUCUUUUAUGUAUCUACUCCUUUAUGUUGAUGACAUGUUGAUAGCAGCAAAAGAUAAAAGAGAGAUAAGAAAGGUCAAAGCUCAACUAAGUGAAUAAUUUGAGAUGAAAGAUUUGGGACCAGCAAAGAAGAUACUUGGUAUGGAGAUUCUCAAAGAUAGAAAAGUAAGUAAAUUGUACCUAAGUUAGAAGGGGUACAUUGAGAAAGUUCUUUGCAGAUUCAAUAUGCAGAAUGCUAAGCCUGUUAGUACUCUUUUAGCAGCCCAUUUCAGAUUUUCAUCGGCUUUGUCUCCACAAUCAGAUGAUGAGAUUGAGUACAUGUCACAUGUUUCAUACUCUAGUGCAGUGGGAUCUCUCAUGUAUGCUAUGGUUUGUUCACGUCCAAAUUUAUCAUAUGUAGUCAGUCCAAUUAGUAGAUAUACGGUGAAUCCCGAUAAAGAAUAUUGGAAAGUAGUUCAGUAGAUUUUAAGAUACUUACGAGGUACUACUAAUGUUUGCUUACAGUUUGGAAGAACUAGAUAUGAAGUCAUUGGGUAUGUAAAUGCUGAUUUUGCUGGAGACCUUGAUAGAAGAAGACCUCUCACAGGUUAUGUCUUUACAAUUGGAGGUUGUGCAAUCAGUUGGAAAGUUACUUUGCAAACUACAGUUACUUUGUCUACCACUGAAGCUGAGUACAUGGCGAUUAUUGAGGCUUGUAAAGAAGUUAUUUGGUUGAAGGGACUCUUUAGUGAACUCAAUGAAGACCUUCAAAUCAAUACAGUAUUUUGUGACAGUCAAAGUGUCAUCUUCCCUACAAAAGAUCAAAUGUUUCAUGAGAGAACAAAACACAUUGAUGUUCGAUAUCAUUUUGUUUGUAAUAUUAUUGCUCGUGGUGAUAUUGUUGUGAGCAAAAUUAGUACUCAUGAAAAUCCUGUAGAUAUAAUGGCUAAGUCACUUCCUAUAAUCAAGUUUGAGCAUUGCUUAGACUUGAUUGGUGUUCAUUGUUGAAGUUAAACCCUUAAAAGGUUUUAUGGAAAAGGUGGAGAACUUGUUUGUUGAGAGUUCACGAUGAAGAACUUGUUCAUUGAGAAUUCGUGUCCAGGUGGAGACUGUUAGAAUUAAGUGACCCGAAUCCUUAUUUUUAUUCCUUAUUUAAAUAAAAUACAGUGGUAAAAUAAAAUAAAAGUAAAAUUCCUAUAGAACUAUACUUCUUUCAUUUUAUUUUAGUUAAACCCUUAAAAGGUUUUAUGGAAGAGGUGGAGAACUUGUUUGUUGAGAGUUCAUGAUGAAGAACUUGUUCAUUGAGAAUUCGUGUCAAGGUGGAGACUGUUAGAAUUAAGUGACCCGAAUCCUUAUUUGUAUUCCUUAUUUAAAUAAAAUACAGUGGUAAAAUAAAAUAAAAGUAAAAUUCCUAUAGAACUAUACUUCUUUCAUUUUAUUUUAGAAUAAGGUUUUUUAAACAUUAUUAAACUCCAUCUAUUUGAUAUUGAUUAGAAUAAGGUGUUUCAAUCUUACUACACUCCUAUUAGAAUAUGGUUUUACAAGCCUAUAAAUAGACAUAGUCUAUUCCUCUUGUAAUCAUUCGAAUUUGACAUAGUGAAUUAUCUUCUCCUCUACCCGUGGUUUUUCUCGAAAGGGUUUACACGUAAAAUCUGUGUGUUCUUUAUUUCUCUCUCUCUUUUUUCUUUGCGAUACAUUGUUAUUACCGAUAUUUUAUUUUUACAGAAGUCUGUUUAAUUAUUUUAUAUUAUAAAAUGUUACAUUCAGGAAAAUGAUGUACCUGCAUUUGCCAGAGGAGAUCAGAACUGGGUUGAACAUUAUACCGAUUGUUGUAGAAAUUAAGACGAGCUUCUUUAACCUUAGCUCGUUCUUCAGCUAUGCCUGCAUUUGGAUCGAACUCCCACGUUUGCCUCUCCAGAAAAUUGUUGGUACUAUAAAGGUAGGAUCAUUGCCACCUUCCCCUAUUUUAAGCCUCCAUAUUUUCUUCCUUAAAUUUUCAUGAACAAAGUCAUCAUCAUAUACAAACUUUGCACCAAUAGCAUUAGUUGCUAUUAAUAAGUGAAAGAUAAUAUUUAAGGGGGAGGGGUAGACGGUAGCGUGUGUAAAGACAUUAGUUCGAAAAUUGGGUUUUGGCAAAAAAUUAGACCCAUUUAAAAUAUGGUCUGAGCUCGGGCUUAAACAUUCAAGGCAUGAGUCCGGUUAGAUCCAUUUUUUAAGUUUAUAAUAUAAUAUAAUAUUUUAUUUUAUUUUAUUUUAAUAUAUUAUAUAAUAUAUAACACAUAAGAAUUAGAUCUAUAUUAAUAUAUAACACUACUAUAAUGUAAGCAUUAAAAAUAUUAAGAUAAUUAUAUAUAAAAUUUUCAUAAAUAAAAAUAUUAUAUUAUUAAAUAUUAAAUAAAAUUUUAAUAUUUUUAAAAUAAUAUUUGGGGCUUGAAUGGGAUUCAGUUAUUUAUUUGCAAAAUAUUUGUCAACUUGGGCAAAAUUUAGGCCCAUAUUUUUGGUCGAACUGGCUUGUGAAAGCUAAAAUUGUGUUAAUAUUAAGUCCAACCCGACCCGUAACACCUCUAGGGGAAGGACUUUGAAAAUCCAAAUAAAUAAAUAGCUAAGGACUUCUUGUGAGAAUAAUCAUUUUCAUAGUAAAAUCAUAACUUGAAAUAAAUUUUUAUAAAGAAAAUAUUAUUAUUGAUAGAAACAGUGAAUAAUAAUUAUAUAAAGACAUAGUACAUAGUACAAAUGAUAAAUAAUACACUGCAAACUUAUGCACAAAUGAUAUGAAAAAUAAUUCCAAAAGAUGAGAAAGACAAACUGGCGCGCGGUACUCACAACACUAGAAGCAUUCACAAACAAACCAAAAAUGCAAGACCUCGAUCAAAACAUUGAAAAUUGUAUUCCAGCCCCACUAUCAUCAAGCCAACCUGAUGAUGAACUUUGAUCAAUAAGAAACUACUUCCAAGAGCCCCCAAGAAACCUACCACAUCAGUGAUGUAGAAAAAAUCAAGUCUCAAAUAGUCUAUCAUGUUCAUCAUCAUCUCGGAACCCAAUUUUACAACAACCAUCACUAUCAUUUAUUGCGAUAAGGACCUGUGAGAAUUGUUCCCAAUAUAUCUAAUGCUACCCUUACAUUGAAAAAUAUCAUAUAUAUAUAUAUAUAUAUAUAUAUAUUAGAAAGCUAUUAGAAAUUAUAAACUAAAACCAUGAUGAGUUUUAGAAAGAAAAAAGAAGAAGAAGGUGUUUUUUGAUAAUUUGAGGUUCGUAAAGUAUAGCUAUAAAAUUAUAUAUAGAUUUGAGCGGGAGUGUAGUAAAAUACAGGAAUUUUGUAUAUUAGGGUUUUAAGAGACGUAAAUAAAAAAAUGCAUUCUAUUUUGCUUUGAUAAUGUUUAUGUUCGAGUAUGUGAAAUAAUUAGUACUAUUUCUAUAAUUAAAUUACCGCAUAGCUAAUGCAAUGAACUGGAUUUCAAGGAUAUUAAAAAGUUCGAUUUUUAAGUUGAAAUUAAUAAUUGCGUGUUCAAUCCGUAAUUAGGGAUCAUUGCCACCUUCCCCUAUCUUAAGCCUCCACAUUUUCUUCCUAUUCAUAAACAAAGCCCUCAUCUUAUAGACUUUACUCCACAACCACUAGUUGCCAUUAGUACAUGAAAGAUAAAAUAUAAGACUUUACACCACAAUCACUAAUUGUCAUUAUUAAAUAUGAUUAUUAAAUAUGAAAGAUAAAUUUUAAGGGGAGGGUAUAUACUAGGCUGCCUAAAGGUUGGUUUGAAAUUUGAUAGAAUUUAAGUAAAAAAUAUUAAGUUUAUUUAAAUAUGGUCUGAGUUCGGGUUUGAACAUUGAAGGCUUGAGCUCGAGUCAAUCCUUAAAUUACACAAUUUUUUUACUUAGUACCUUAAUCCGUAGAAAUCCCUAAAUUAUGCUAAUUUUUUUUAGCAUAAAAGUAAUUGACUCUAGGUUGAUUAAUUAAAAUUUCUUUCUAAUUAAAACCCUAUUAUCACAUUAACUCAUGUUAUGGAUUUCCCUAUUAGAUUUGGCUCUAAUUCGGUAGAUUUAUGUCAUCCUAUUUCUAAGAUUGCAUGCAACUCCACUCAACUAUACAAGAUCUACUCUUAAACAGGGUCUAUUCAAUCACUGAUUUAAGCGCAUGAAAUAUAGAUUAAUAAUCUAGAAAUAUCAAACCAAGAAUUAAACACACAUAAUUUAGAACAAGAAACUAAAUAUUUAUUGCGUGAAAUAAAAAUCAAACGACAGAAUCCAUCAUAGGGUUCAUCUCCCCUAAUUAUUUAGAAAAUUAGUUCAUGCUUGAAAAUAGAAACAUCCAAGAUUUAGUAUAACCAAAAGAAAUAAAGAAACUCAUGAUAACUUCCUUAAAAAUCAAUUGGGAAUCUUCAAUCUUGACGGAAAUCUGCUUCAAAAUUGGCUUCAAUGGUGUUUUCCAAGUUGUUUUCUUAAAUAUUCUAUGACAAUUCACUCCUAUCUUGCCGUGUGGAAUGUUCAGCCUAUGUGGCUCCUGUAGCUUGAUCUGACACUCCGAAUUUUGUUUGUUUUACUCUCAAGUGCUCUAUUAAGCAUUAAAACAUGAAUUUAAGUGAUUAUAAGUAUAAAAUUCACAAUUAACAUCAAAUAAUCACUCAAAAAUGCAUUUAAGUGAUUAUGAGUAUAAAAUUCACAAUUAACAUCAAAUAAUCACUCAAAACGCAUUAAAAAUGAAGUUAAAACAUGUUAGCACUUAUCAUGAUGUUAUCAAACUUUUUUUUAAAUGAAAUAGAGUAAAAAUUUCAAAAUGCUAAUACUUUUAAAUUAUCUAUAAACUAAUUUAAUUAUUUUCACAAAAAAUAUAAUUAAAAUCAUUUUUUUAUAUUGUAUUAAUUAAUAAAAAUUUCAUAAAAUUUUGUUAAUUAAUUCGAUGUAUUUUCAAUUAGAUAUUAACUUAUAAUUAGUUUUCAGUUUAAACAUAUACGAGUAAAUAUUUGGUAAACGGAAAUUUUUAACUUCUCAAGUGGGAUCCCAAAUCUUUACCAAGAAAAGGUAAGUAAAUCUCGUUCUGAUGCUUAGAUCCCGAAUAUUUGUAGAAUUCCUAUCCAAUGUUAAUCUUACGUUCGAUUAAUCAAUCUUUUACGAUUCUUGCAAAAAAAAUUAGGCUUAUUUAAAUAUGGUCUGAGUUUAGGCUUGAACAUUUAAGGCUUGAGCCCGACUCAAUCCGUUUUUUAAGUUUGUAAUAUUUCACAUUAUACUUUUUUAUAUAUUAUUUAAUUUAUAAAACAUACGAAUUAAAUAUAUAUUAAUAUAGAAUACUACUAUAAAGUAAACAUUUAAAAUAUUAAGAUAAUUAUAUAUAAAAUUUUGAUAAAUAAAAUAUAAAAAUUAUUAAAUAUUAAUUAUUAAAAAAUAAUAUGGGCGGGCUUAAAUGGCUUGGGCUAGAUAUUUGAAAAAACAUGGGUGGGCUUGGACACAUUUUUAGACCUACUUUUGGAAUCAAGCCGAGCUUGUGCAAGCACAAAAUGUGUUAAUAUCACUUUUGGGCAAAAUAUGAAUGUAAGCAUGAAAGCAGGAUACUAAAAGCAUGAGACAAAAAAUGUAAACAUGAUUUAAGUUAUGGUUGGAUUUCAUAUUAAAUUUAUCUGUUUAUUUUUGUUAUAAAUGAUUACUUUUUUUAAUCAUGUUAGCACCACUGCACCGUAUUGCUCAGCAUAUAGUUUUGUUGUUUCCGUGCGUAUAUCUCAAACAAGAACUUAGUAGACUCGAAGUCAAGCAUCCAAGUCCUCCCACUCAUCUAAGAGGUCACCUCUUUGGUAUUUUGUAUGUAUAUAACUGAUUUGGGUCAUAUAGCAUUUACCGAGGUUAGUUAGUAUGUUGUUAAGUUAAUAUUUGGUGUUUUUGGCAUUAUAACCUGCAAAAUUUUAAAAGUUAAGUUUUAUUCUUUGAUUAGUGAUUAUCUAUGUUUAUUUAUAUAAGUUUGAAUGUGUUAGUUGAUAGGUUAAACCUUAAUGCAUUGGAUACUAUAAUUUGAUGGUGGUUGAUUGUUUUUACAUGUGUUAAUUUGUGAUUUAGCAUUGACGUAAUAUUUGGAUAUGUUUUAGGUACAAUUAAAUGAGGUUGAAUGAAUGAAAAUGUGCAUUUUAGGCUAUUUGACCAUUAACUAUUAAGAUAAUAAGAGCAUGUCUUAAGACCGUUAGAUCAAAAACCUACCUUAUUAUGCAUUCAAUUGCUUAAUUUCUCAAGACAUGUCAAUUUGGUCUCGAGACAAACUCAUGUAGUUCUCAAGACUAGUGGCAUUUGUCUUGAGACAAGGGUACUAGUAAACUAGUAAAUUUUUCUAACAGGUUGAUUAAUAAAAUAAUUCAUGGAUUACAUUAAUAUACUUUGUAUAAUGUCCCCAUGUGGUUUUUGCAAGCAAAGCAAAUAUUUGCUCAUUGGUUGUCUAAUGUUUAAACAAAUACUAAGCGGUAUUACGUGGUCGGAUACAGAAAGACAAUUUAGGAUCAUUUAGUCACGAAGUCAUUCUAUUAUAGUAUCGUGACUAAGCUCUCCCUAAUGACAUACCAUUACGAAAGUAACUCGAUCAUGCUCAUCUAAUGACCUUGUUAAAAGUGUUUUAUCCUCAUAGGAUAUCCUUAAUCUUUUUGGGAUAAAUUUGCUCUCCCAAUGUGAUCCUAUUUUAUCUCGUGGUAAUCAUUACAUCUUCUUUCAUGAAAAGUCAAUUACUAUCAAAUAGCAAUCAAGUCAUUCAUCACAAAGAUGAACAAACCAUGGACAUGUUUACUUUUCAUCUAUCAUGUAAUACUAAUGAGAGAAUAUUAUUUUCUCAUGUCUUGGACUAUGAAUUUCACUAUUGUGAAUGAUGCUACAUACCACAAAAGUCGUAUACCCAAUGUACCAGCUUUCAGUUCCUUAUCUAUUUGAACUUGAGCUUUUACUUACCUAAAUUUUCUUUCUAUAUUCGACCAUGUAAUACCGCUUAGUAUUAGUUAAACAUUAGAUAACCAGUGAGCUAAUAUUUGCUUCCAUUUUGCUUUACAUGAAAAACUAUUGAGGACAAUAUAUAAAAGGUAUUAAUGUAAUUUAUGAAUAAUUUUAUUAAACCAAUCUGUUCGAAUCCGAUAGGCAUUCCAUAGGGUUUGUCAUGUUGGUGGGAGCUUUAGUGCUGAGCGCAAAUUAUCAUUUGAUAGUUCUUUAAUACCCUAGCGGUCGAGAACAUAUCACUAGCUCAAAUACCCUAGGAGUAGGAGCGGUAUACUAGUGUGGUUGUGGUUAUCGGUGCAUUUAUGCCCGCCCAACUCUUGUGCAUAUUCUAGUAUGUUCGACUUAAUUAUGUGUCAUUUUAUUAUGCUUUAUGGGUUAAUUUAAUAAUGCGUUGAAUUUAAAUUAUGUUAGCACCAGUGAGUUUUCAAUGCUUAGUAUGUGAAUAUGUUUGUUUUUGUGCGUAGGUGAAGGUAGACUUUGAGUGGCAUGUUAGAGUCGAGAGCAUUUUCAGCGAGUUCAUUUUAAUUUGAUUUGAAGGUGAUUGGCUUCCAGCCUCGAAAAAUCCUCUCGUCGCGACUACUCUCCGAAGAGGUAAACGACUGGUCAUGAAUUGUGUUCCAUUCACAUGGGUGAAGAUCAAUCCUCCUACCUCCUGGUUAAAUGCUUGUUAUUUUGUCUUGGUAUAGGUGUUUCAUGAUGAUGUACAAGUGUAUUUGUAUGAUUUGUUUUUGCAAUGAAAGAAUGAAUUGUUUGAUGGCCAAAAAAAAGGUUAGGUUGUAAUUAAAAAUAAAAAAUAAAAUUUGACACAGAACAAUUUCUUAAUUACAAUUAAAAAAGUUCCUAUACAAUGGAUAGUGUAGCAUACAAUUCUUAAAGAAAGAUCCACCGAGUCCCUGCCAUUUGAUCCAAAAAUUACAUCAUCACAAAAAUAUUAUAAUAUAUAUAUAUAUCCUUCUCCCGGUAAAAGUAUUAUGAAAAUAUUUGUAUUAGGAGUUAAAUUAUAUUUUACUCUAUUAUUUAAAAAAUAGACAAAUUAAUUCUUAUAUACUAGAUUAAAGAACAAAUUGUUCCUUUUUGUUAAAAUUUUCAUCUAAUUCUACCGUUAAAAACUUAUGUGACUGAUAGAAUAACUAGACAAAUAUGGCACGUCACAUGUAUCUCAUUCUAAUGUACAGGGACCAGUAUUUAAAAAUAGAAAUAGAUGGAAUUUUUAACAAAAAAAUUAUUUUGCUCUUUGAUCUAACAUAUAGAGACUAACUUAUCCAUUUUUUGAAUAAAAAGAUAAAAUAUAAUCUGAUUCUUAAUAAAUAGCAUAAUUAGUACUUUUACCCCUUUUCCUUUCCCUUUUCUCUUAAUGAUGCAUGUAUAUACAUAAAGAAACUUACCUGCUGGGGAAAAUCACCAUUUGGUAACUGAGAAUUUAUCAACAAUUUUGCAGCUCGAUGCAAAGGUGUAGGAUCCCUCUCAGCCUAUUUAGUAACAUACGGAUAUAUGUAUUGUGAUAAAGAAAAUCAACAUAGCAAUAAAUUUAAGUAUAGAAUAUAUAUAUAGUUUUGGAAUAAUGCAAAAUUUUACCUUCAAACGUUAAUUUGUUAACAAUAUUGACAUGGUAGUUCACAUGUAUUUCGCGUUAACAUAACAUUAUUUAUCUUAUAUGUCACGUCAACAAAUAAUUUAAAAUUUAUAAAAAUAUUUGAAAAGAUAAAAAAAUUCUAAAUUCAAAAAAGUAUAUAAAAAGUUCAUUUUCUUUUAAAUAGCAUGGAGUAUAUGCGGAUUGUAAUGCUAGUUUUCAUGUUUAAGAAUUUAAUAUUUUAGUUAAUUUUUUCGUUAAAAAAAUAACAAUUUAAUUUUUUUUGAAAUGUUGAUGGUCAAAUUUGACUUUUAUUUUAAAAGAUUGAGGCUAAAUUUAAUUAAAUAAUAAUAACCAAAUUAAAAAUAAUGUAAAGAUUAAGGACUAAACUCGGUGUUAAGCCUUUCUUUAUUUGGGCAUAUUAGGAUUAUAAGAUAAAUAGACAAUUGAAAGUAAAGCAUACCUGACCACUAAUAAUUAAACCCAUCAAAGCCUGUGCAGUAUUUACCAAGUUCGAUUCUUUUCCUUCAAUGGGUGUGUAUACCUUUUAUCAACAAGGACAAAAAAAAGUAUUUAUAUAAUUAAAUAAUAUAUAUAUAUAUAUAUAUAUAUAUGAAAGUAAAAAUAUAUUGUUGGUCCCUAUAUUUUGACAAAAUUUGAGGUUUAGUCUCUGUAUUUAAAAUGCGACAAAUUAAAUCUCAAUUUUUUUAUUUAAAAAUUUCGGUCUAGUUAAGUCAAAAAAAUAUUUCAGUCUAAUCAUUAAAAUCACAAGUAUUUUCUAUCAAAAUUUGUCAACUCGAAAUUUUGAUUAGUCUAUCCUCAAUGAUAUGGCAUAUGGUUUACAGAAAAUAAACAUGUUAAAUUGACAAAUUUUGGUAUAAAUUGGCAAUAACGAUAAUUAUUGGAGUAGGAUUUUAAAUUGUAAAAGUAAGAGGAUGAAAUGUCAAAUUUUAUACAAAAGGAAGUCAGAAGAUUUUUAGGAAGGUUGAAUUACAUUGCUCGAUUCAUUGCUCAACUUACCAAUCAGUGUGAUCCAAUUUUUCGACUCCUUCGAAAAUAUAAUCCAGGAAAAUGGAACGAGGAGUGCCAAGUGGCCUUUGAUAAGAUAAAACGGUAUUUGUCUAAUCCUCCUGUGCUAGUACCGCCGACCCCUGGAAAACCCUUAAUAUUGUACCUGACCGUGUUUGAGAACUCAAUGGGUUGCAUACUGGGACAACAUGAUGGGUCAGAGAAAAGAGAAAAGGCAAUUUACUACCUCAGCAAAAAGUUCACAGAAUAUGAGGCGAAGUACCCUUCAAUUGAGAAGUUUUGUUGUGCAUUGAUUUGGACUGUUCGAAGGCUCAGACAAUACAUGUUGUAUCAUACGACAUGGUUAAUUUCAAAACUGGAUCCAAUAAAGUACAUGAUGGAGUCACUUGCACUCUCAGGAAGAAUGGCACGAUGGCAGAUCUUACUGACUGAGUAUAACAUCGUGUAUGUGAGCCAAAAAUCGAUAAAGGGAAGCGCGAUAGCUGACUUCUUGGCAAGUCAAACAGCGGAAGAAUACGAACCUUUGAGAUUUGAUUUCCCAGAUGAAGACUUGAUGUGCAUUUCAGAAAAAGAGGGUGAGUCAUCAAAAAAGAAAUCAUGGAAGAUGAGCUUUGAUGGUGCAUCGAAUGCAUUGAGGCAUGGGAUCGGAGCAGUCUUAGUGUCACCAGAAGGAGAUCAUUACCCGCUCACUGCCAGAUUGAACUUCUUCUGUACCAAUAAUAUAGCAGAGUAUGAAGCUUGCAUCAUGGGACUUCGUGCAGCUAUCGAGAGGAAAAUUGAAAUCUUAGAAGUACACUGGGACUCAGCAUUAGUCAUUUACCAAAUCUGCAGAGAUUGAAAAGUGAGGGAUUUGAAAUUAGUCAAAUAUCACGAUCUCGUUACGAAAUCUGGCAGCAACUUGCACACCUACCCCGUGAUUUCCGGCCACCGGCCUAAGGCAUGGCCUCCCUCUCCCCUAGCCACCUAAUCCCUGCAAAAAGGACACGAAAAUCAGAUAUAAAUUGGGCUUAAAACCCCAAAAAUCGGAACCCCCCAUCACCAAAAAAAAAUUUUCAAAGAAAAAGAAAAAAAAGCUUUGAGAAAGAAAAAGAAAAGGAAAAGAAGAGAGAGGGGAAGAGGGGCCGACCAUCGGCGGGCCACCGGAGGAGAAAACGGCGGAAGCAAGCGGCGGUGGCGGCACCUUGGGCUUGAAGAAGAAGAAGAAGAAGAAGAAGAAAGAAAAAAGAAAAAUGAAUUUUUCUUUUUUAAAUCGGGCCGAUCCGACCCGACUCGGGUCUGACCCGACCCGAUCCGGUGACCCAACCCGACCCAGCAGUAGCCCAGCUUAGCAGGCCCAAAGAGAAGCCCAAACAAAGAAAAAAAAGAAGAAAGCAGAAACAAAAUCAAGUAGCAGGUCUGCAGCAGGCCCACUUUGCGCAGCCCAGUAGCGCAGGCCCACUUUGCGCAGCCCAGUAGCGCAGGCCCAACGCAGGCAGCCCAGCACUAGCAGCAGGCCCACCAGCAUAAGCAGGCCAGCAGCAGGCCCAGGCCCAAAAGAAACAGGCCAGAAAAAAGAGAGAAGAAAAAAGAAAAAAGAAAAAAAAGAAAAAAAAAGAGAAAAAAAGGAAAAAAGAGGAAAAAAGAGGAAAAAAGGAAAAAAAGAGAAAAAUGAAAGAAAAGUUAAAUUUGUGUAACCCGUUCGACGAAGCUCGUGUUUCGGGAUCUUUUCGGUAAUUUCGUUUAUUUCACUUUUUAAGUUGAAAUUAGUGAAUCAAAUUAUCUGAAAUUUUGAAUUGGAUAAUUGUGUGUUGAAUCUGUAAUUAGGGAUCAUUGCUACCUUCCCCUAUCUUAAGCCUCCACAUUUUCUUCCUAUUCAUGAACAAAGUCCUCAUCUUAUAAGCUUUACUCCACAACCACUAGUUGCCAUUAGUACAUGAAAGAUAAAAUAUAAGACUUUACACCUCCAUCACUAAUUGUCAUUAUUAAAUAUGAGUAUUAAAUAUGAAAGAUAAAUUUUAAGGGGAGGGUAUAUACUAGGCUGCCUAAAGGUUGGUUUGAAAUUUGAUAGAAUUUAAGUAAAAAUAUUAGGCUUAUUUAAAUAUGGUCUGAGUUCGGGUUUGAACAUUGAAGGCUUGAGCUCGAGUCAAUCCCUAAAUUACACAAUUUCUUUAUUUAAUACAUUAAUCCGUAAAAAUUCCUAAAUUAUGCUAAUUUCUUUUUUGAGCAUAAAAGCAAUUGACUCUAGGUUGAUUAAUUAAAAUUUCUUUCUAAUUAAAACCCUAUUAUCGCAUUAACUCAUGUUAUGGAUUUCCCUAUUAGAUUUGACUCUAAUUCGGUAGAUUUAUGUCAUCCUAUUUCUAGGAUUGCAUGCAACUCCACUCAACUAUACAAGAUCUACUCUUAAACAGGGUCUAUUCAACCACCGAUUUAAGCACAUCAAAUAUAAAUUAAUAAUCUAGAAAUAUCAAACCAAGAAUUAAACACACAUAAUUUAAAACAAGAAACUAAAUAUUUAUUACGUAAAAUAAAAAUCAAACGACAGAAAUCUCCCCUAGUUAUUUAGAAAAUUAGUUCAUGCUUGAAAAUGGAAACAUCCAUGAUUUAGUAUAACCAAAAGAAAUAAAGAAACUCAUGAUAACUUCCUUAAAAAUCAAUUGAGAAUCUUCAAUCUUGACGGAAAUCUGCUUCAAAAUUGGCUUCAAUGGUGUUUUUCAAGUUGUUUUCUUCAAUAUUCUAUGACGAUUCAAUCCUAUUUUGCCAUGUGGAAUGGUUCAGCCUAUGUGGCUCCUGUAGCUUGAUCUGACACUCCGAUUUUUGCUUGUUUUACACUCAAGUGCUCCAUUAAGCAUUAAAACAUGAAUUUAAGUGAUUAUGAGUAUAAAAUUCACAAUUAACAUCAAAUAAUCACUCAAAAAUGCAUUAAAAAUGAGGUUAAAUCAUGUUAGCACUUAUCAUGAUGUUAUCAAACUUUUUUUAAAAUGAAAUAGAGUCAAAAAAUUCAAAAUGCUAAUACUUUUAAAUUAUUCAGUAGUUUCAAUGGCAUGUGCUAUGCACAUGAUGUUAUCUAAUAAACUAAUUUAAUUAUUUUCACAAAAAAUAUAAUUAAAAUCAUUUUUUUAUAUUGUAUUAAUUAAUAAAAAUUUGAUAAAAUUUUAUUAAUUAAUUCGAUGUAAUUUCUAUUAGAUAUUAGCUUAUAAUUAGUUUUCAGUAUAAACAUAUACGAGUAAAUAGUUGGUAAACUGGCGGUGGAAAUUUUUAACUUCUCAAGUGGGAUCCCAAAUCUUUACCAAGAAAAGGUAAGUAAAUCUCGUUCUGAUCCUUAGAUCCCGAAUAUUUGUAGAAUUCUUAUCCAAUGCUAAUCUUACAUUCAAUUAAUCAAUCUUUUACGAUAUGGUCUGAGUUUGGGCUUGAACAUUUAAGGCUCGAGCCCGACUCAAUCCGUUUUUUAAGUUUGUAAUAUUUCAAAUUAUACUUUUUUUAUAUAUUAUUUAAUUUAUAAAACAUACGAAUUAAAUAUAUAUUAAUAUAUAAUACUACUAUAAAGUAAACAUUUAAAAAUAUUAAGAUAAUUAUAUAUAAAAUUUUGGUAAAUAAAAAUAUAUAAAUUUAUUAAAUAUUAAUUUUUUUUAAAAAUAAUAUGGGCGGACUUAAAUGGCUUAGGCUAGAUAUUUGAAAAAACAUGGGUGGGCUUGGACACAUUUUUAGACCUACUUUUUGGAUCAGGCCGAGCUUGUGCAAGCACAAAAUGUGUUAAUAUCAUUUUUGGGCAAAAUAUGAAUGUAAGCAUGAAAGUAGGAUAUUAAAACCAUGAGACAAAAAAUGUAAACAUGAUUUAAGUUAUGGUUGGAUUUCAUAUUAAAUUUAUAUGUUUAUUUUUGUUAUAAAUGAUUACUUUUUUUAAUCAUGUUAGCACCACUGAACCGUAUUGCUCAGCGUAUAGUUUUGUUCUUUCCGUGCGUAUAUCUCAAAUAAGAACUUAGUAGACUCGAAGUCAAGCAUCCAAUUUCUCCCACUCAUCUAAGAAGUCACCUCUUUGCUAUUUUGUAUGUAUAUAACUGAUUUGGGUCAUAUAGCAUUUACCGAGGUUAGUUAGUAUGUUUAAGUUAACAUUUGAUACUUUUGGCAUUAUAACCUACAAAGUUUUAAAAGUUAAGUUUUAUCCUUUGAUUAUUGAUUAUCUAUGUUUAUUUAUAUAGGUUUGAAUGUGUUAGUUGAUAGGUUAAACCUUAAUGCAUUGGAUACUAUAAUUUGAUGGUGGUUGAUUGUUUUUACAUGUGUUAAUGUGUGAUUUAGCAUUGACAUAAUAUUUGGAUAUGUUUUAGGUACAAUUAACUGGGGUUGAAUGAAUGAAAAUGUGCAUUUUAGGCCAUUUGACCAUUAAGUAUUAAGAUAAUAAGAGCAUGCCUCAAGACCGUUAGAACAAAAACCUACCUUAUUAUGCAUUUAAUUGCUUAAUUUCUCAAGACAUGUCAAAUUGGUCUCAAGACAAACUCAUCUAGUUCUCAAGACUAGUGGCAUUUGUCUUGAGACAAGGGUACUAGUAAACUUGUAAAUUUUUCUAACAGAUUGAUUAAUAAAAUAAUUCAUGGAUUACAUUAAUAUACUUUGUAUAAUGUCCCCAUGUGGUUUUUGCAAGCAAAGCAAAUAUUUGCUCAUUGGUUGUCUAAUGUUUAAACAAAUAUUAAGCGGUAUUACGUGGUCGGAUACAGAAAGAUAAUUUAGGAUCAUUUAGUCACGAAGUCAUUCUAUUAUAGUAUCAUGACUAAGCUCUCCCUAAUGGCAUACCAUUACGAAAGUAACUCGAUCAUGCUCAUCUAAUGACCUUGUUAAAAGUGUGUUACCCUCAUAGGAUAUCUUUAAUCUUUUUGGGAUAAAUUUGCUCUCCCAAUGUGAUCCUAUUUUAUCUCGUGGUAACCAUUACAUCUUCCUUCAUGAAAAGUCAAUUACUAUCAAAUAGUAAUCAAGUCAUUUAUCACAAAGAUGAAACCAUGGACAUGUUUACUUUUCAUCUAUCAUGUAAUACCAAUGAAAGAAUAUUAUUUUCUCAUGUCUUGGACUAUGAAUUUCACUAUUGUGAAUGAUGCUAUAUACCGCAGAAGUCGUAUACCCAAUGUACCAGCUUUCGGUUCCUUAUCUAUUUGAACUUGAGCUUUUACUUACCUAAAUUAUCUUUCUAUAUUCAACCAUGUAAUACCGCUUAGUAUUAGUUAAACAUUAGAUAACCAGUGAGCUAAUAUUUGCUUCCAUUUUUCUUUACAUGAAAAAACCAUUGAGGACAAUAUAUAAAAGGUAUUAAUGUAAUUUAUGAAUAAUUUUAUUAAACCAAUUUGUUCGAAUCCGAUAGGCAUGCAAUAGGGUUUGUUAUGUUGGUGGGAGCAUUAGUGCUGAGCGCAAAUUAUCAUUUGAUAGUUCUUUAAUACCCUAGGGGUCGAGAACGUAUCACUAGCUCAAACACCCUAGGAGUACGAGCGAUAUACUAGUGUGGUUGUGGUUAUCAGUGCAUUUAUUCCCGCCCAACUCUUGUCCAUAUUCUAGUAUGUUGGACUUAGUUAUGUGUCAUUUUAUUAUGCUUUAUGGUUUAAUUUAAUAAUGCGUUGAAUUUAAAUUAUGUUAGCACCAGUGAGCUUUCAAUGCUUAGUAUGUGGAUAUGUUCGUUUUUGUGCGUAGGUGAAGGUAGAUUUUGAGUGGCAUGUUAGAAUAGAGAGCAUUUUCAGUGAGUUCAUUUUAAUUUGAUUUGAAGGUGAUUGGCUUGCCACCCUCGAAAAAACCUCUUGUCACGACUACUCUCCGAAGAGGUAAACGACUGGUCAUGAAUUGUGUUCCAUUCACAUGGGUGAAGAUCAAUCCUCCUACCUCCUGGUUAAAUGCUUGUUAUUUUGUCUUGGUAUAAGUGUUUCAUGAUGAUGUACAGGUGUAUGUUUGUAUGAUUUGUUUUUGCAAUGAAAGAAUGAAUUGUUUGAUGGCCAAAAAAAAAGGUUAGGUUGUAAUUAAAAAUAAAAAAUAAAAUUUGGCACAGAACAAUUUUUUAAUUACAAUUAAAAAAUUUCACUACCAAUACUUCAAAGAAAUUACCUUAAAAUUCUUCACUAUCCUAUAAUUAAAUGUAUCAUUCAUAUUUUUAUAGGUCCAUAAAGGUUAAUCAUUUCAAAUUUUAUGACUUUCCCUCUUAACGAUGUCUCCUAACGUUGCACACAACACUAAUGUCAUUUGCUCUUUUUUUUUUUUAGCCAUCUUUUUACUUUUUAUUUUUCCUUUCACCUAUUAUUGUGGGUGUUAAUAAGAGGAUCUAGUUUAAACAAACUAAAUAAUUCAAUUGAUAAUAUUAAGAGAAAUAAACACAAAUCUCAAAUACAGAUUGUAAAACAAACAUAAAAGAUACUAAUAAUUGAAUCGAAGGUUGAACAGGUUGAGCAUUCACUUUUUGAUUGAAUUGGUUUAACAUAAUACUUCAACCACUUUGAAAAAAAAACAUAAAUUAAUAAAAGAAUCAAUAUAUAUCUUUUAAAGGAAAUUUAUAUUUAUAAAUCAAAGAUCAAAUAAACUAAAAUAUAAUGACAAUAUAAAAAAUAUAUAUAUUGCACUAUUUUAUUAGAGAAAUUAUUUGAUAUAUUAUAGUGGAACUUUUAGACUUCACAAGUAAAGUUGGAAGUUGACAAAUAUUUAAAAAAGAGAAAGAUACAUGCCAAAAUUUUAAAAUUACUUAUAAAAGAAUAUACUGUCAAAUGUACCAAAUACUCACCGAUUUUAUUAUAUAUAAAUUCUUAUAGAUAAAUUGUUUUAUUCUAAAGAUACAUAUUUUGAUGGCCAAACAUAAUUGCAAUACUCAGCCAAAGCCCACAGUGGGAAAAAGUUCCUAUACAAUGGAUAGUGUAGCAUACAAUUCUUAAAGAAAGAUCCACCCACUCCCUGCCAUUUGAUCCAAAAAAUUCAUCAUCACAAAAAUAUAUAUAUAUAUAUAUAUAUAUNNNNNNNNNNNNNNNNNNNNNNNNNNNNNNNNNNNNNNNNNNNNNNNNNNNNNNNNNNNNNNNNNNNNNNNNNNNNNNNNNNNNNNNNNNNNNNNNNNNNNNNNNNNNNNNNNNNNNNNNNNNNNNNNNNNNNNNNNNNNNNNNNNNNNNNNNNNNNNNNNNNNNNNNNNNNNNNNNNNNNNNNNNNNNNNNNNNNNNNNNNNNNNNNNNNNNNNNNUAAUUAAGUUUAGAAUAUAUAUAUAUAUAUAUAUAUAUAUAUAGUUUUGGAAUAAUACCAAAUUUUACCUUCAAACAUUAAUUUGUUAACGAUAUUGACAUGGCAGUUCACAUGUAUUUCGUGUUAACAUAACAUUAUUUAUCUUAUAUGUCACGUCAACAAAUAAUUUAAAAUUUAUAAAAAUAUUUGAAAAGAUAAAAAAAAAUUCAAAUUCAAAAAAGGAUAUAAAAAGUUCAUUUUCUUUUAAAUAGCAUGGAGUAUAUGUGGAUUGCAAUGCUAAUUUUCAUGUUUAAAAAUUUAAUAUUUUAGUUAAUUUUUUCGUUAAAAAAUAACAAUAUAAUUUUUUUUGAAAUGUUGAUGGUCAAAUUCGACUUUUAUUUUAAAAUAUUGAGGCCAAAUUUAAUUAAAUAAUAAUAACCAAAUUAAAAAUAAUGUAAAGAUUAAGGACUAAACUCGGUGUUAAGCCUUUCUUUAUUUGGGCACAUUAGGAUUAUAAGAUAAAUAGACAAUUGAAAGUAAAGCAUACCUGACCACUAAUAAUUAAACCCAUCAAAGCCUGUGCAGUAUUUACCAAAUUCGAUUCCUUUCCUUCGAUGGGUGUGUAUACCUUUUAUCAACAUGGACAAAAAAAAGUAUUUAUAUAAAUUAAAUAUAUGAAAGUAAAAAUAUAUUGUUGGUCCCUAUAUUUUGACAAAAUUUGAGGUUUAGCCUCUGUAUUUAAAAUGAGACAAAUUAAAUUUCAAAUUUUUUAUUUAAAAAUUUCAGUCUAGUUAAGUCAAAAAAAAAAUUCAGUCUAAUCAUUAAAAUCACAAGUAUUUUCUGUCAAAAUUUGUCAACUUAGAAUUUUGAUUAGUCUAUCCUCAAUGAUGUGGCAUAUGAUUGACAGAAAAUAAAUAUGUUAAAUUGAUAAAUUUUGGCAUAAAUUGGCAACAACGAUCUAGAAUUUUAAAUUGUAAAAGUAAGAGGAUGAAAUCUCAAAUUUUAUACAAAUACAGGGACUAAUAGAUAAUUUCACCAUAUGAACAAAAGGAAAUCUUUAUUAAAUAUUAAUUACCUUUUUGGGACAAGAAAGGUGACUCUCUCCCCAACCACCAUCUUCUCUUUGGGUUUUAAGCAAAAAAUCAACUCCUUUCCUAAUAGCCAAACAAUUUUUGAAGUUUUUACCAACAGCUUUAAGACCUGAUAGUGCAAACCAUGUCCCAUAAAAGAAGCAAACUCCCCAAUUUCCAUACCUACACACACAUAUAUAUAGGAAUUAUAUAUCCAUCCCAUCAAAUUUCAUGUUUUGAAGAAAUGAAAAUGCCUUAUUAAGUCCUUACCAAGAACCAUCAGGAUAUUGCAUAUCUUCAAUGUACUUUGCAGCUUUUCUGAUGCAACUUUCAAUCUCUUGUUCUCUAUGCCCUGGGUAUAAUUUGUUGAAAAGAACUAGUGCCUGGAUUGAAGCUGAAGAGCACUCUACAUACCUGGAGUUUACAUUUGUUUUUUUUCUCCAUUCAUUAAUAUAUAAUUUUAUAAAUUGGUUUAUUUUACAUUAAAUAAUUAAUGAAAUUUAUUAAGGGAAAAGAUAAGCCUCUUACUCAUGUUCUUUAACUAUAUCCUCUAGAAACUCGACUGGAUUCAGCCACUAAAAAGAUAAUUUAAGGUGAAAAGUUAUUGAUAUAUGUAUGCAUAUAUAUAAAGACUAAUCCAAAUAUUGAAAUAGUUAUUACCUCCCACCAGAAUCCACCUCCCGCUGGCUCCCAAGCUGAGAAACCACCAUUUUUGCUCUGCAAUCAUUUGUAUCAUAGAAUAUACUUAAGACCAAGAUAUUCAUCAUAUAAGGACAAAUUAAAAUAAUUUGACAUUGGUAUGAAUUAAUUAUUGGUAUUCAGAGAAGGCUUCACCUCAGAAAAUGGUAAACUUACCAUAGAGAUUCUUUAAAUUUUAUCAAAUCAUAAUAAUUUAUUAUUUAAUUCUAAAAUUAUACCUUCCCCUACAAAAAUUAUUAUUCAUUUUUUUAGUUCCGCUAAAGUCCCUAUUGGUAUUACAAUCUAUACCUGUAAAGAUAGAAGAACAUUGACAGCAUCAUAGACAUGCUCUCUUUCCAUUUUCUCACCAACCAUUUCAGGUGCCAUCAUUGAAAAAUAUAGGCAACACUGCAAAAACAGUUUUUUAAGCAAUAAUUUCCAAUUGCAAAUUUGUUUCAAAUUCAAAAUGCAUUGUGUUUAAUUGUAACUAAAACAAAAUUACCUUUAAACUUUCUGCAGUACAAUCAGAAAGUUGCCAUCCAUGAUCACGAUUAGAGAACGUCCAUGAUCCUUUAGAAAUGUGUCUAAACAUUUUUUUAAAGUCUCCCGGAGGAUUAUCCCUAACCUUAAAAUUUUCAACCAAACCUUUCAACCAUCAACUCUAACUGAAGAUUGGAAAAAGUAAAAUAGAAGUAAUUAAGAAACCAAAACAUUAAACCUGUGAGUUCUUUAAGAAAUUGUGCCCCUUCAUCAAUGUAGGUCCAAUUUCAUUAGAUAAAUUGCUAGCAAGCAAAGCUUGGAGAAUAAAACUAGCAUCCCAAACUUGACUACCAAAGCUCUGCAUGGUGAAAUAUUGAAAAUAUACUGUAAAAAUAUCUCUAUGGUUUCUCUUAAUUUUGAUAUUGAACAAAUUGGUCCUUUUUUAAAAAAGAAUCAAAGCAAAUUAAGUUUGAUCAAUUUCGAAAAUGAGCAAGUAAGGAUAAUUAAUCAUAACGUUAAUAUUUUUCGUCAAUUGUACAUAUAUUUUACUAGUAUAAUAACAAAUUUAUCCCGCAACAUUUACACAUUUUAACGACAUUUUAUGUAAAAUAUAUAAACUUUGAGGACUAAAUUUGUUAUCAUACUGAUCAAAAUUAUGUACAAUUGACAGGAAACAUUAAUGCCAUGAUUAAUUGUCCUUAGUUGCUCACUUUCAAAAAUUGCUCAAUUUUAAGGGUUAAAGUUGUUAUUAUACCAACAAAAAUAUGUACAAUUGUCAAAAAUGUUAUUCUCAAAAUUGAUAAAGAUUAAAUUACUUUAAUUAUUUUUAGAGAGAAAUUAAUUAAAUAUUGAAAGUUUAAUUAAUUCAACAUUUAUAGUGUUUUUAUAAUUAGCAAACCUGCAUCUUUAUUCCAUCUUCUCCAACCCAAACAUAGUCAUCAACCCUAGAAAGAUGCUUCUUAAAGUGAAUUCCAUUUGGAUCUUCAACCCAACAAGCUAGCAUACAUAAAGGCUGCCCAAUGUAUUAUCAAAUUUUAAUUAGUUAAAUUAUUAGCAAGCACUAUAUAUAUAAUAUUCAAAAUCAAUUCUAAUUGAAUUGGGUUACCUUUUCCACACAUCCAAUAGUAAUAUAUUGACUGCUUUCAUCUUCAUAAUGAAUGAGAUCCAUUGUUAUUUUAAGAGCUUUUUCUCGUAACUUAUUAAAGGGCCAACAAUUAAGGAGAGGCUCUGAAACUAUGUAAAGACUAUCCCAGAGCAAUAUUUGAAGCCGUGUAUGAGGGUAAUAAAGAUCUUCCUGCAUGCCAUGUAUAAAACAUUUUUUCAUUUACAUUUUAACUAUAAAUAUUGUGGCAUAAAUUAUGAUUAUAGAUUUUACCUUUGCACAUAAAUGCCGCUUUGUACUCCAAUCGAUUUCAUUAUAUGGUUCAAUGUGGAGUUCUUCUCUUAAUUGUGAAAUUAGAGGUGUGAUUGGACCCACAAAUUUUCUUCCGUACAAAUACGACAUUGGCAUGUACGUUAAUCGACAGUAACAAAACAUCUUUGCUGCAUUAGAAUAUCAUCAUCGUUAAUAUAUACAAUUAACUUUGCAUAUCUUAUGUUGUACUCCGGUUUAAUAUUUAAAUAAUAAAAUUCAAAAUGAUUCAAUAUUAAAAUGAUCCGAAUUCUAAAAUUUUAAUACUCGAAAUAAUACAUAUUUUGAAUUAACCACAAACAAAUAAAUAUUGCAAACCUGGAUGAAUGGGAAAAUAAGAAGGAAAGAGCCAAAAUUCUGGAGGCAUUGGUUGGCAACCUGACCAUUCAUAAACACCGAGUAUCUACAACCAAAUUAAAUAGAAAUAUAUAUUUAAUAUAAAAAGAAUUAAGUUUGAUGGUAAAUAUUGUUGUAAAAAAAAGGAUGACAUACUGAAAGCCAAGUCUUCCCCCAAGAAGAAAUGGUAGUGACACCCCCACGAUCAAGAAUCCAUUUUCGGCCUCUCUCACAAGCAUUAUUGAGGCCACCAUCAGGUCCUACUCCCAAUAAACGCAUACAAAUGUAGUUGAGAGCUGUGCAAAACAUUGUGCUGUGACCCCCUAUAUAUAAUCCCCAUCCUCCAUCCUCAUUCUGCCAUGCAAAUCCAAGUUUUAAUAUUUAUUAAUACUAGUCCACUAUUUAAUGCAUGUACACCUAAUCAUAUGUCAUAUAUACUCAAAUGAAGAACAGAGAUACCGUUCGUUUAUUUAGGAAAAAAAAUCAAAUUUAUAACCUGAUGGCAGUAAAUAUAACGGAGAAUUUCUUUGCGAUAUUCUGAUGAGAAUUUGGUAUUGAGAUGCCCUGUGAUAUAUAAAGACAUGACCUGCAAAUAUUAGGAUAAGAUUUGCAUAAAAAUUUGUGAUCUUCUGCAAGGGAAAUUAGAAGAAAUAUAUAUAGAUAUAUAAUAUGAAUAAAUGGAAAGGAAUAAGAGGAAUGACCAAAGGAGCAGAAAAAAACAUAGGGCCAGAAUUCUCAGCUGGCCAGUGGCCAUGUAUUGAUUGUAGAGCUGAAAAUAAGUGCACACUUCUGUUCACUGCUGCUGUUGUAGCUUCAUGUGUCACUUCUUCACCAUCCUCUAUUUUCGGUUGGGGAAUGGUUUGUUUCAUCUUUUUCUCUUUUAGAAACUGCAUACAACAAACAUAAUUUAGCUAUAACGAGUCUUUCUAGGUAUUUUUCAUCCAAGUUUUAGUAUGUGAAUUGAUUGAGAAAAUAAAAAGAAAGAUACAUUUUACCAUUAUAUAUAUAAUUGUAUCGCCUCAAACAUAUUUAAUUUAAUUAUUAUUUGUUUAAGUGGUUAAGUGAUUUGUGUGUGUUUGAGGUUAUAGGCUUUUGACUUAAAGUUUAAUUCCCACGCAAGUUUUGAAAAUGAUGAGUUUGUUAAUUUAGAGGUAAGGUGUUAGCUUACCUUUUCAUAUUUUGUGUCGUUCGCAUGGUAAGGUUCGAAGUAAAUUUGAAUUUUGAGGGAAUUUGAGUAGUUAUUAGAAAAGGGAUUAUAUUGUUCUUUUAUUAAUUUCUUACAAAUACUAUUCCGACAAAAGAAAUUUUAUUAUAAAGAGAUCGAAUAGAUAUUUUUAAAAAAAAUUAUGAUCAAUAUUUUCAAUGUUAUUUUUCUCGGUACAUAAUUAUCGAGUGAAUUUUCUUUUCAAUUUCAAAAUAUCACACUAAAGAAUUUAGUAGAAAAACUUUAACAAUGGUUACAAUUGAACCUCAAAUUUAAAUCCAAAAAGUAAAGGACUCCUAAAAAUGAAAACAAAGACUAAAUUUUAAAUAUAAAAAAUGUAUAAAGACUUAAAACAUAUUUUAACCUUCAAACUUUUACUUUAUAAUUUGUGACAAAUAAAAAAUCAAUCAACUUAAAAUUUGUAGCUGAGAAUGGCAAUGUUGAUUAUUAAUUUUAAAGUAAAUUAUAAUACAAAAAGUUAGAAUAAAUUAAUAUCAUAUAACAUCCAUUUCAAGAUAAUUUAUUUAGUAAUUGCUAAAUUCCAGUAAUUUAGUAAUUUACAUGUUUAGGUAUAUUUUAAUUGUGUUGAUAAUUCUCACAGGAAGUCUAGAUGUUCCUCUAUUUGUUUAUUUUUGUUUCUACACAUUUAAUUUUGAUUUUAUCCCAUUUGAUGAUUAUUUUUGCUUUUCAAGGAAAACUUUUCAUGCAUUUAAUUCAUUUAGCAAUAAUUUUCUAGAACUUUUCCAAGGUUUGAUGUUCCAUUUUUAUUCUCAAUAAAUUAUAUAUGUAAUUUAUCUCAUCAUUUGAUUUACGAAUAAUCAUAAAAUUGUAACAUUCUUUUUAUAAAAUAACCUUAUUAUUAAAAAGUUAAAAUGAUCAACGCAUUAUAAUCCAGUAAUACGCAUUAGAAAAAAAUCCAUCGAACUUGAAUGCAUACAAGUUUAAUAAUUAGGUUUGAGUUCAAAUUUAAGUACAAAAUUUGAUAAACAAUAUUAAUAGAGCUUAAACUUAAGAUUAAAUAGUUCAAUUAUAUUUGGAGUCGAGCUCGAGUUUUAAAAAUAAUGUUUUAAUUUAAAUCAUAAAAUUAAGAAAUUCACCAAACAUAUCUAUAACUUUUCCAAGUGAAAAGAAAGUUUAAUGAAAUUGUAUUGUUUCCAAUGUAAGAGGACGUGGAUUCAAGUGUGUUGAGAGCGCAUUAUCUUUCUAUUUAUGUGUUGCGGAAGGGUUAUAGAUAAUUUUAGAUAUUGUGUAAAAAAAAAAACAAAGCAUGUAAGUUUAUAUAUGCUCAAACAUGCAUAUACCAACAUGGAAACACAUCAAACAAACAAAACUAGACGAUUCGAGUGACUAAUCCAAUUUAUUUUUCACAUUCAUAGGAGUUCGACUAUAUUUCUACUUUACCACUAUGAUAUUUUCUGAACAUUUCUAACAUUAUUUUUAUUGAAUUUAGAAACAAAUGUAACGAAUUAACCAUAAUUUUCUUUCCAUUUAGAUCUCAUCUUACUAGUAUCACUAGAAAUUGGUAAAUAUUUUUAAUACUAACUUUUCCUAUAUUAGCUGUAGUCCAUCCUUUUCGGAAUUGAUUGACAACAAAGUUUUAUUUAUUUUUCUCUUUAAAAGUAUAGCAUGUCUUACCAUUACACUCAACUACUUAUUGAUAACGUGUUACUUUUUUUAUAUCUUUAUUACCAACAACAUAAAAUAUUUAACUAAUGAUUUUGUAUUAGAUCAUGAACAUGAAGUAUUUAACUUUCAUGACUUAUUAUUGGAGGGACUAGUUUUUGACUUUUUAUUGAAUAGGUUUUAUUAUUGAAAUAUAUAAUGGGAAAUUAUUAAGUGGAUUUUUCUAUUAUUGAAAUAUAUUAAUUUAUUGUUAUAUCAUGGCAAAAUGAUAUACCUGCAAUCGCCAGAGAAGAUCAGAACUAGGCUGAACAUUGAACCGAUUGUUGUAGAAGUUAAGACGAGCUUCUUCAACCUCAGCUCGUUCUUCAUCUGUGCCUGCAUUUGGAUCAAACUCCCAUGUUUGUCUUCCCAGAAAAUUAUUGGUACUCUGAAGGUAAGGAUCAUUACCACCUUCCCCUAUCUUAAGCCUCCACAUUUUCUCCCUUUAUUUAUUCUUUCACUACCAAUUCAAGAAUGGAACUGUAAGUGAUAAUUUAGUGGGUCGUAGUUAAAUGUAGAAAAUAGGAAUGAAAAUAUGGUUACCAUUUUAUGAUAAAAACCUCCCGCUUAUAUAUAGACUUUGACAACUGCUAGCUACUUGCCAUUAUUGAAUACAACAAUUUAUAUUUAUAUUUAUAUUUAAUUAUUUAAAAUCAACCCCUACAUAAUUUAUUAAUCAAAAUUAAUAUUUGAUUUAAAUUAUUAUUAUUUAAAAUUUUGGUUUAAUUUUAUACUUAAAUAACAAUUUUUGUCAUUGAUAUCUUCACCUACAUAAUUUUAAUUAAUAAUAAAAUUAAUUAUUUUAAAUUUAUAAAUAAUAUAUAUCUUUCAAAUAAUCUUAUUUAAAAAUUUUAAUAUUUUAUAAAAAUUAAAUUUAGAACAAUUAGUAUGCCAUUAUUUUUUAUUGCUAAAUUUUUAUUACUGCUAUCGAAGUUAUUACUUACAUUUAUAUCUCAACUACUCGAAUGAUACCAAAAGAAGAAGAAAAUAAAGAUCAGAAACUAUUGCAAUUUGCAGGUCUCCAACAACUUGGGAAUUGACUUGUUCGCCCUAUAUCUAUGACAAGGUACACAAUAAAUUAACUUCUCAAACAUCUUACAUAAAUUCACCAAAACUAAUUUUUUUUAAACAAAAUAUAUUUUUUCAAUUCAAUUUGGUAAUUAAAUUUAUUUUCCCACUUAUACGUUUUUUUCAUUUUACUGCCUGAAUUUAUAAUUAGAUUUAUUUUUAUUUCUAAACUUGAAUUCCGUCAAAAUUUAAUUAUAUGAACAGUGUUUUUAGAAUAUAACUAAAUUGAUUGAUCGGAUCUAUUUGAUAAAAAAACUAGUCGGUAUAUUAAUCCGAUCGAACAAAGAAGUUUAACCGAUUGAAUCAAAAACUACUCAAAACCCAUAAAAAUAGAAAAUUAUGUCAAAAACUAAUAGUCGAAUAUGUUGACUAGUUUAAUUUUUUAAAAUAGAAAACAUUAUGAUUAUCUAUUUAAUUUUUGUUAAUUUAGCUGUUAAAUUGAUCAAACUAAUUGAAUCAAGAACAGUAAUAUGAUCGGUUUAAUCAUUCCUUCAAUUAUUAGAAUAUGAUCUCUCCCCCAUCCUUUGGCUUCCCAGUGGUCGAUGGUGUCUUUUCUUGAGUUGGGCCAGGGCAUACUCUUUAGCAGAGGCAUUCAUGCCGACGACUGGUGGGACCACCGUGCUUCUUCCUUCCUCGACAUCCCUUGGCGUUCCCUAAACCUCCUCCUCCGAUUACAGAGGUUGAGGAGCUUUUUAGGAGCUGGGUUUUACUGGUAAUGUUUGAAGCUGGGACCUUUGGUUUUUUGGGGCCUGAUUUUUAUUACUGUAUCUAUGGGCUUUCUGGGCCACUAUUGUACUUAUUCCCAUUCUUUAAUGAAUGUUUUAUGUUGGAAAGAAGGCAUACUCAUUUGACCCCUAAACUAUACAAUUUUUUCACUUUAGUAUCCAAUCUUUUUUCAUCUAACUUUCAUAUUUUCUGAAGUUUGGAUGAUUCUGUGUAAAAAAAAAUUUUCGUUAUUUGACAAAUUUUCCUAAAAUCAUUUUUCACAUGUUCUUAAUAAAACAAACACAACUUGAAACAUGACACAUAGCUAUACUAGUUAUUUUAAUUUAGAAUAAAUUAAUAUCAUAUAAAAUCUAUUUUAAUUGUGUUGAUAAUUCUCGCAGGAAGUACAGAUGUUCUUCUAUUUUGUUUAUUUUUGUUGGAUUUGAUGAUUGUUUUUGCUUUUCAAAGAAAACUUUUCAGUGCAUUGAAUUCAUUUUAAUCCUCCUGCAGUUUACAGCUAGCAAUAAUUUUCUGGAAAUUUUUCCAAGGUUUUGGUAUUAUUCACCAUUUUCAGACUUUCGUGUUUGAUGUUCCAUUUUUAUUCUCAAUAAGUUAUAUCUAAGUUAUCUUUAAAUUAUUUUGGACUUUAAAUUUUCUUUAGAUUUAUUUUUAUUUAAUUUUAAAUAUACUCUAGAUAUUAAUACAUACCAUUGCGCUCUUCAAUAUUUGAUUAUUAUUAUAGUUUAUUCGAAUAUAUAUUACUUAUAACUAUAAUUAUAUUUAUAAAUUUUAAAAAAUUAUUAUUUAAUUUACCAAUAAUGUUUAAUUUUAUGUAUCAUGUCGAUUGAGUUUUAACUUAAUUGGUAUGAGUAUUGUUGUGAAUGCAGGAGGACGUGAGUUUAAGUACAUUGGAGUGUAUUAUCCUCUUAUUUAUGGGUUGCAGAGAGACUAUGGAUAAUUCUAGACAUUAUGUCAAAAAAAUAAAUAUGAUCAUAAACUAUAGUGAGAUUUUUCAAAAAAAAAUUAUGUAUCAUUAACGGACUAAAAAUUGAUAUUCUAAUCAUUUUUUAAACAAUAUAUCAUCAUUUGAUUCAUAAAUAAUAAAAUUGUAACAUUUUUUUAUAAAAAACCUUAUUAUUAAAAAGUCAAAAUGAUCAACGCAUUAUAAUCCAGUAAUACACAUUAUAAAUUCAUCAAACUUGAAUAAAUACAAAUUUAAUCGAAUUCACAAAAAUUUAACCGAAUUCAAACUAAAGUACGAAACUUGAUAAACAAGUUUAAUAGAAUUUUAAUUUAAGCUCAAAUAGUUUAAUUAUAUUAAAGUUGAACUCAAGUUUAAAAAUAAAUAUUUAACCGAAGUUACUUUGAGUUAAAAAAUAAUAUUUUAAUUGAAAUCAUAAAAUUAAGAAAUUGAAUAUCAAUUUUCUUCUUCACCAAACAUAUCUAUAACUUUGUGAAAAGAAAGUUUGUUGAAAUAGUAUCACUUCAAUAACUAUAUUUUCUUCAGGAUUAAUAUUUUAAUACUUUUUAUCCUAUCAAGGCAAUUGCCAGAGAAGAUCAGAACUAGGCUGAAGAUUGAACCGAUUGUUGUAGAGAUUAAGACGAAAUAAUAUGGCAUUAUUUUUAUUGUUAAAAUUUUAUUACUUUUAUAAAACUCGUUCACAGUAAGUGUGUAAUUUAAGUAUUUGAAAUAUUUAAAUUUAUAAUUUAUUAAUAUUAUUUAAAUAAUGUAUUAUGUAGAAAUUAGGGGUUUACUUGCUUAGCAAACAAAAAAUGUGACUAAAAUGUUACUUGAAAUUGUAGCUACAGUUUCAAUCACAAAACCAGAAGUGCUAAAAAAGCAAAGAUGAACACCAAGGUUGUUUACACAGUUCGACCUGAGUUUAUGUCUGUGGAGCCUUCCCUAGAGCAAUUGAUGUAUGUUCACGUGACUAACUAAAAAUACGACAAAGGCAAAUGCACCUAUCGAUAAAUAGUGUAGCUACGGUGAGUAAAAAUAUCGUAUCCACAAGGACUAAAAGUAUUAGUAAUUAUUGUUUUCCUAAUAUUCAGCCGACAAAUUGGAGUGAUUGUUUUAAACUAAGAUUUACUAAAUUAACCUAACUAAAUAACUCAACAGAGAGUGAAUCAGGAAAAUAAUCGAAUAAUAACCAAUGAGAGAAAUAAUACCUAGGAAAGAAUCUACCUAGACUUCAUCUAUUAUUAUGAAUCUAAUUUAAACGAUUUAUUCACUUGGUAUCUUGAUCCGUAGAAAUCUCUAAAUUAUGCUAAUAUCUCUUUCGAGGGUAAGAGCAAUUGACUCUAGGUUGAUUAAUUGAAAAUUCUUUCUAAUUAAAACCCUUAUUUUCGAAUUAACUCGAUCUAUGGAUUCCCCAAUUAGAUUUGACUCUAAUUCGGUAGAUUUAUGUCGUCCUAUUUCUAAGAUUGCAUGCAACUCCACUCAAUUAUGCUAGAUCUACUCUUAAAUAGAGACUUUUGCUCCUCCGAUUAAGCACAUUAAACAUGAAUUAAUAUCCCGAAAAUAUUCAAACAAGAGAUAAGCGCACAUAACUAAGAACAAGAAUUAAAUAUUUAUCGCAUAAAACAGAAAUUAAAUCAUAAAAUUCAUCAUAGGGUUCAUCCUCCCUAGGUAUCUAGGGAAUUAGUUCAUAAUUGUGAAUAAAAACAUCUCAAAGUCAGAAUAAUCAUAAGAAAUAAAGAAACUCAUAAAAACUUCAAGAGAAAUUAAAAGGAGGUCUUUAGUCUUGAUUGGAAAUUCGCUUCAGUGUUGGCUCCCAUGGAGUUCUUCGAGUUGUUUUCUUCGAUAUUCUCUGAUGACUCCCUAUUCUCUUAUUCUAUUUGAUAUUUAUAUUCUUUAGAAUGCCCAGAAAGCCUAAAAAUUAUAAUUUUCCGCGUGUUUGGGAUGCAAGUCGCGAAAUUGACACGGUCUGGCACAUCUAAAUGGCUCACACGGCCGUGUGUCCAACCCAUGUGGGAAAGCCCAGGUCGUGUGGCUCUUGAAAUAAGCUUUAUUUGUCCAAUUUUCGCUUGUUUUUCGCUUCUUUUGCUUCCAAAUGCUCUCCUAAGUAUAGAAACAUGAAUUCAAAGGAUUAUGAGCAUAAAAUUCACCAAUUUGAGUAAAUAAUCAUCCAAGAACACAUUAAGAAUAUUUUACUUUUAUCACUUAUUAGCAAUGAUCCACUAUCUUUCUCAUAGUAUAACAAAUGAUUUAAGUCCUAACACUAGUCUAACACUUACCAAUUUAGUGACCUCACCGUUGUACAAAAACUAGAUCACUCUCCCACUAAGCUUCCCCCUCGAAAACUUAGUUUUGCAAUCCGAGAGACUAUCUUGAUUCCUCACAAAAACAAUGCACACAUAAAUAUUUCUAACAUGAACAAAUUUGUGCUCUCUUAAAGUUUUUUUUUCCCUAUCAGAUACCCUUAUUCUAAGCAAACUUAAGUUUAUGUAGUACUUAAGUUUUGUUUACAUAAGAUUAUAUUUUAAUUGUUUUUCUAUAAAGUAAGGCUAAAAACCAGCAUAAUAUAAUACUUCAAUAAGAGUAUUGAUGUAAUAUAAUGUCCUAAACUAUAGAAUGUGACUUUACUUAUUCCGCAAGUAACCUGACUUAAUCUGUAAUAAACCAAUCUUCAAGUCUUCAAUUUUAACUCAAGUGGUCUUCAUGCGUUGGGUUUUACUCGUCCAAAUAUUUUCAUAAUAAUUAGCCCAAUGCUUUUGUUCUACAAUUUGUUAACUCUUCAAAUAGGCAAGGCAAUGAAAUAGUGCCUAAGGUUGUGACAACUGUUUCAACCACAAAAACAACAAUAGAAUUAAUCUUGUCUUUAAAUAUGUCAACACUCUCCCCUUUUGGAAUUUCUGAACAAAACAUAUACAAGAAAAAUAAAACAAUCAUAAUUACAUAUUAUUCCCCUAGGUAUCUCCCCCUUAAUCAAAGUAUCAGACAUUGAGGAGGCUAAAGAUAUCGAUGACAUGAGGACUAAUGAGUUAAUUGUAACACCCUAAACCCAACCUAAACAUUACGCACAGAUCUAAAAAAGUUACCAUGAUUCAAUUUGAAAAUCCAAAAAUUAGUUGGGCUUGUAGAAAUAGCGCUAGCUUUUGAUAAAAGUAAUUUUGAUUUAUUUUAAAAGAAAAUAUCUUUCUUACUCAAUUCAUUAAUCUUGUCAAUUAAAUUUAUACCUUAAAAACACUUACGUUUGUAGUGAAACUCUUAGUUAAAUUCAAUUUUGAAAAUGUAGUUUGAUUUUGAAAAUCCAAUGUUUUGCUAAUAGACUGAUAUAUAGACUUUGAAACAAUAUUAUUUAGAAAUUUUAAAUAUUUAAUAGUUUUAUAAAAUUAAAUUUAGAUACAUUGAUAUGACGUUAUUUUCUUAUUAUUAAAUUUUAUUACUUUUAUAAAAACUCGAAUAUAGUUGAGUGUGUGAUUUAAAUAUUUUAAUUUAUAAAUUACUGAUAUUAUUUAAAUAAUGUAUUGUGUAGAAACGAGGGGAUUACUUACUUAGCAAAUUCAAAUUGUGGCUAAAAUGGUUCUUGGAAUUGUGGCCACAAUUUCAACCACGAAAUUAAAAGUGUAGAAAAAAUAAAGAUGAACACUGAGAUUGUUUAUGUAGUUUGACUUCGGUUUACGUCUGUGGAGCCUUACCCAAAGCAAUGAUUCACUACCCUUCUCAUAGUACAACCAAUUAUUUAAGUCCUAACAUCAGUCUAGCUCUCACUAAUUUAGAGAUCAUACUGUUGUACAAAGACUAGAUCACUCUCCCACUAAGCUUCUCCCACUAAGCUUCUUCCACGAAAACUUAGUUUUGCAAUCCAAGAGACUCUCUUGAUUGCUCACAAAAAUAAUGCACACAAAUAUUGUGAUCUCUCAAAGUUCUUUUUCCUCUAUUCGAUACCCUUAACCUAAGCAAAACUUAAGUUUAUAUAGUACUUAAGUUAUGUUUACAUAAAAGUUAUAAUCUAAUCACUUUUCUAUAAAGCAAGGUUAAAAAUCAGCAAAAAUAUUUUUUUUUCAUCUAUUCAUUGCUACAUUUUCAACAAUACAUAUUUUUUUUCCUUUAAAGAAUAUUAAUAAAACAAAUAUUUAGACAUACGGCGGGUAUAUGACCAAUGAUAUUUCAUAUCACAUUGCUAAGAUAUUUUAUAUCUACCCUUUGAAGGUUUAUCUUGAAAACUCUAAUCGUUCUUGUCGAAACCAUCUUUUGCAAAACAAAAAAUUUUAGGUUGUCAACUUUUUUAAAAAAUUAAAAUUGGGAGUCGCCACCAAUCUUUAUUAGGGUGUGAUUGGAUCACCUAAAAAACAGCUUUGGUCUACGAGUUUUAGAAAAACGGAUCCGGGAGUCAGUUACAUAUGAGGAAGGAUUAGCACCCUCGUAACGCCCAAAAUUGGUACCUAGUUAAUUAAUUAGUGUCUUAAGGUCGAGAAUUUGGAAAAAACGUAAUCCUUAGCAAAACUUAAAAGGCUACGUAUUAAGACCCUUAUUAUUUCAGAGAAAGAAGAUACCACACCCAAUGCGUUAGGGCACAGCAUUCUAAUUUUCCCCAAAAUGAAUUGGGCCAAAAUACUUGUACAAUAAAAUUUUAAAAGAAGAUCCACUUAUCCAAGAUUUAAGAAAUCACACCCAAUACGUUAGGGCACGAUUCCUCUAAAAUCCCAAACUCGGAAUAUUUCAUUUACUUUAAAAGAACAUCCACUUAUCCAAGAUUUAAGAAAUCACACCCAAUACGUUAGGGCACAAUUCCUUUAAAAUCCCAAACUCGGAAUAUUUCCUUUAUUGUUUUUAGAAAAAAAAUUCAUUUCGAGAAAUCAAUGCGUCACAUCCAAUACGUUAGGACACAACGUGUUGAAUUCCCAAUAAUGAAUUCUUAUUUUUUAGUUAAAGAGAAAUGCUCGAUUGUUAGACUUAACGAAGAAAAUCGGAACCCAAUACGUUAGGGCUCAAUUUCCUUGAAAAUCCUAAAUUCAAGCAUUCUCUCAAUUUUGAAAAGUUUGAAAUCGAGUAAAGAAUGAUGUGAUGCUAUAUUAAAUAUACAAUGCAAUAAUAAAUAUUACAAUGGCCUAGAAANNNNNNNNNNNNNNNNNNNNNNNNNNNNNNNNNNNNNNNNNNNNNNNNNNNNNNNNNNNNNNNNNNNNNNNNNNNNNNNNNNNNNNNNNNNNNNNNNNNNNNNNNNNNNNNNNNNNNNNNNNNNNNNNNNNNNNNNNNNNNNNNNNNNNNNNNNNNNNNNNNNNNNNNNNNNNNNNNNNNNNNNNNNNNNNNNNNNNNNNNNNNNNNNNNNNNNNNNNNNNNNNNNNNNNNNNNNNNNNNNNNNNNNNNNNNNNNNNNNNNNNNNNNNNNNNNNNNNNNNNNNNNNNNNNNNNNNNNNNNNNNNNNNNNNNNNNNNNNNNNNNNNNNNNNNNNNNNNNNNNNNNNNNNNNNNNNNNNNNNNNNNNNNNNNNNNNNNNNNNNNNNNNNNNNNNNNNNNNNNNNNNNNNNNNNNNNNNNNNNNNNNNNNNNNNNNNNNNNNNNNNNNNNNNNNNNNNNNNNNNNNNNNNNNNNNNNNNNNNNNNNNNNNNNNNNNNNNNNNNNNNNNNNNNNNNNNNNNNNNNNNNNNNNNNGAAACAAGUAUACAUAUAUAUAUAGCUAAAAUAUAUAAUACAUAUGAAAUAUAUAUAAUAAUAAUAAUUACAUUAACAAAAUUAACUAAUUUUAAGAAAAAUAUAAAAAGGAUUAAAUUGAACUACAAGUAAACAAAUUUGGGGUAAAUCUGCAAAUAAAUAAAAUUUGGAGGACUAAAUUGAACGAGCGAAUUACAUAGAGGGGCUGGAAGGGAAAUUUUCCCUUCUCCUCUAAAACGGUGUCGUUCAAAAGGAUUAAAUUGGAAUUUAAAAUAAAUAAAAGGGUAAAUUAAAAAAAUAAAGAAAACUUAAUUACAAAAACAUUAAAAGGCAGAGGGGCUAAAUAAAAAAAUAAAUAAAUUUGCAGUGGUAUCACCUUCUCCCUUUUUUAAAAUCGUGAAUAAGUAUUAGUCCUGUUUCAGGCUCUUGUAUUAUUUAGAAACUUCUAGAGUAAUAUGCAAAACUUCCUUCGUGAAAGUUUUAUUAGUCCAUUGAUCAUUAUUCUAAUGCAACAUGCUUGCAAAAAGAACAAAACGAUGGAUGAAAUAGAGAUAAUUCUGAGCAUAGCUUGAAAUAAAUAAAUUAUCAAAGAUAGUAAAGAAGAAUAACAAAGAGAUUAAUUGUGAAUACAUAUCUUGGAAACAAAUGAAGUGUUCCGAGAAUAACAAAUUUAGUAUAAAUAAUAUGAAUAUUGGGUGCCCCAGAUAUCGCAGCUUGAACUUCUCUGUACAAACUUUUUUUGAAGAUCCAUCUGAGUUUGACAUGUGUUUAGGAGAUCCACAGUACUCUGUCAAUGCCCCAAGAUGUUGCCUACCUUUUCUUGAUAAUUCUGGUAUAACAAGAUCACCACAUGCCCCAAUCUAGUUAAAAUUUAAGUUGCUCUAAUCACCUCGUGCCCCAUUCGGAUCAAUAUUUGAGCCGCCCUUUUCGGGUUUUUAACUCAAAUCCCCUUUGGUCUCAAAGUGCCCUUUGCGGGUUUUCACUUUGGCCUCUCCAUUUUCCUUUUUUUUUUGAAUCUGAACUCAUAGGAUUAGACAAGUCUUCGUUAUCCCUUUCGAUCAUAACCAAUAUAAAAUCUUCUUUGUGAUCAAAUUUCUUUGAUAGAGCCUUUUGGGGCAUAAUUUUAACUAUGACGAAAACUUUGGAUCUUCCUCUUCAACUAAUAUGAAAUCCAACAACGAAGAAAUGACAACUUGACUUCAACGGGCUAAACCAUUAUGAGCCAAAGAAGAAGGCAUUGCCCCGGCAAAGAAUGCAUCGUUCAUGAUGUUAAUCUUGAACAUACUGUAAAAUUUUUUUGAUAUUGCAUUGUUGUUCAGAUUACAAUGUCAAUGCAUACCCAAGCAUGACCAUACGAAGACAUCUUUGAACUCUUUGAAGUAACUCAACAAGGUUCUACUUCAUUUCUUCGGUUAUGCACGUUCCCUUAAGGUCACAAUCUCCAUUGUCUCCUCAUGAGGUAAGAUUUCAUUCCUGUUCGACCAUCUGUAACAAGUCUGAAAAUAGGCUACAAUCUACACCAUCUUUAAAGUCAUGAGAUCCCUCUAAACACAUAUCCCACUAAAAGGAACUUCUGAAUCCGUAACAGCAUCACUCAUGUCGUUGAUAUCUGGGGACCCAUAAUAGGUACCAAAGAAUAUACAAAAGAAUGUAUGAAUAAUCAUUUGUACAAUUAUGAAUGAAUAAUUAUUCGAAAAGAAUGAAAGAAUAUUGGCUUAAAAAAUGAAUGCAAAGAUGUAUUUUAUUAGAAUAACAACGUUCAGACAUGAGCCUAUUUCAUAAAGGAAUUCUUAUUGCCUCUAGGCUGAAGGCAACAAGUGUGUUUUAAACAUUACUCUGAGUAAUCUCUAAAUACUACAGGGGCUUCAUCUGCAGUCUAAUUAUUUAAAGCAUUCCCAAGUCUAUAAGGGCAAAAAUUUGACAAGGUCUCUUCUUCAGUUGUUUCAUCGUGAACACUUCUCGACGCCCCUUCAUAUUCAAUCAUGACUGGGUACUAGAUGAACCAUCUAUCUUGACAAUACCCAUGUUGAUUAAUUUUUCAACUAGCUUUUUGAAGGUAAUGCAAUUUUCUAUAGAAUGCCCUGUAAUUCUUGCAUGAUAAUCACAUUGUGCACUUGCAUCAUACCAUUUGAGAUACGGGGGCUGUGGAGGCUUCACAUGUAAAGGAGCAACAACAUGCGCAUUGAAUAAGCUUUGAUAUAGCUCCUUGUACGGCAUUGGAAUUCGUGUGAACUGAAGCUUUUCAGUACCUGGCUUCACACUUAAUUCUUGUCUUGAUGAACCCUGUUGGUUUGCAAUCAAUUUACCGUACGUAUUCACGCUCUUCACCUCAUUUCCCUUUUCUUUUGAGGCUUGCCUUCUGUUAUUUCCUCCAGCAUCAAUCUUUCCGCUCCUUAUGCCACUUUCAAUCAUUUCACCAUUCAUGAUUAUGUCAGAAAAGCUUUUUGUCGCACUCCCUAACAUAUGUGUGAUGAACGGAGCUUUCAAUGUAUUUAUGAAUAACAUUGUCAUUUCCCUUUCCAAGAGCGGUGGCUGAACUUGGACGGCGACCUCCCUCAACCUCUGUACAUACUGCCUGAAGCUUUCAUUUGAUUUCUUUUCCAAAUUCUGUAAGGUGAUUCUAUCAGGAACCAUAUCUAUCACAUGACUGUACUACUUUAUGAAUGCCUGUACCAAAUCUCUCCAUGAAUUAAUCUGGGUACGGUUCAAUCGAUUGUACCACUUGGAUGCUGCCCCUGCGAGGCUAUCCUAGAAACAAUGUAUCAGCAGUUGGUCACUAUUAACAUACCCAGUCAUUCGCCUACAAAACAUGGUAACAUGAGCUUCGAGGCUACUAGUUCCAUUGUACUUCUCAAACUCUGGCAUUUUGAAUUUGUAAGGGAGCACUAAAUCCGGAACUAGACUCAAUUCUUUAGCAUUCAUCCCAUAGUAGCCUUCUGCACAUUCCAUCGCUCUAAAUUUCUCUUCCAACCAUUUGUACUUUUCCUCUAACUAUUUUGGCAAUUCAUCAUUCAUUUUCUCAUUUCUAACUGUCUCAUCGAAAUCAGGGAUAGCAGGAUUAACAAAGUUGGCUCUGGGGUUAGAGCUUGAUCCUGCUUGGAGAUUCAAUAGCGUUGCAGCGUCACCCGGAGGAUUAAUGGUAACAGAGGACCUACGCGGGUAUAUCUCAACUUNNNNNNNNNNNNNNNNNNNNNNNNNNNNNNNNNNNNNNNNNNNNNNNNNNNNNNNNNNNNNNNNNNNNNNNNNNNNNNNNNNNNNNNNNNNNNNNNNNNNCAUUGAGUUAACUGAGUCAUCAUACUCCCUUGAGAUUUUAUCAUUUUGUCUAUUAUUUUUUGCUGCUCAUUCAUUUGCUUUUGAAGUUGCUCCUGCAUUUCCUUUUGGGAUUGUUCUAGUCUUUCCAUCCUUUGAUCCAUAUCCUUAGUUUUCAAUCGAGUACCAUAGCGGUGUUUAGUAGGCUGGUUGGUUUCCAGAUUAACUGAGGAAUGAUUUAUAUCAAUUAGAAUAUUUUAGUGGACUUUAAUGUAUAUGAUAUCAUGUAAUGUGAAUGCAUGCAAUGAAUGCAUAAAGAGAUGUUGAUUCUGAUUCAAUUCCAUUUAAAGAACUUUACUAGAAAACAAAUCUCUUUACAUAAAAUGAAUAUUUAUACGGCCUUACCCUCAUAGGCGAAGACAUUCGAUCUUCUUGAGCGUUAAGAUAAAUCUCACGAACUCUUCAAAAACGUCUCUUCUAUCUCCUUUUUGCUCGAUCCAGGCCGUAACUUGUUGUUCGCUCAUCCUCAUGAUGCCCGUUGGCUUCUCUUUAAGAAGGUUCAACGGUUCUCAAAUAAUCUUUGUCAUCUUGAAUUCUUGGGCAACGGAGCCAUAGUCCUCCAUUAAAUUAUCAUCCUUCUCUUAUCAUGUGUUCUUGGACCAUAUUCGGACAACCAUAUUGUCAUCCAUUUUAUCAAGAAACCCAUUUUCUUAUGACCAGCUCUCUAUUUAGCAAUUGAACAUGAAUCAACACCUCUUUUAUAAUGAAAUGAAAUGCCAUGACAUGUAAAUAAAACACGAAAAGUCAGUAUCAUAUAAACAUAUAAUAUAAUAGUAAAAUUCCUACUCGGAUAUCUACUAGGGUUUAGUAUAGUUCUACUUAGGGUGGAUUCCUAAGGUUCAUUAUAUGAGGUUUGGCUUCUAGAGUAAAGGUACCUGAACCAGCAGAUUCCUCAAUCCUCACCCAUUAUAGGCUCAUAUGGAUCGAGUUCGGUUCAGGGGAAUACAUUUCCCUAUGGCUACACGGAGAUGAAAAUCUCACGAAGACAUAGGUACGGAUGUAUCCCGGAAGCAAUCCACUACCCUACACGGAGGUGAAAACCUCACGAAGGCAUAGCUUCUUACUCCCACUUAAAAGGGUAAAAUUGUUCAACUCAUGAAAUGUAUAAUGCAAAUAAUAUUUAAGUAAUAAGAUAAUGAAUGCGAAAGGAUGUCAUGAAUUUUUUUUAAAAAAUAUUUUUCUCGACCGUAAGACAAAAAUCAAUCAACUUUGUGGCUCGACUCUUUUUUUUUAAAAGAAAAUGUCCCCAGUGGAGUCGGCAAGCUGUCGAAACCAUCUUUUGCAAAACAAAAAAUUUUAGGUUGUCAACUUUUUUAAAAAAUUAAAAUUGGGAGUCGCCACCAAUCUUUAUUAGGGUGUGAUUGGAUCACCUAAAAAAUGGCUUUGGCUACGAGUUUUAGAAAAACGGAUCCGGGAGUCAGUUACGUAUGAGGAAGGAUUAGCACCCUCGUAACGCCCAAAAUUGGUACCUAGUUAAUUAAUUAGUGUCUUAAGGUCGAGAAUUUAGAAAAAACGUAAUCCUUAGAAAAACUUAAAAGGCUACGUAUUAAGACCCUUAUUAUUUCAGAGAAAGAAGAUACCACACCCACUGCGUUGGGCACAGCAUUCUAAUUUUCCCCAAAAUGAAUUGGGCCAAAAUACUUGUACAAUAAAAUUUUAAAAGAAGAUCCACUUAUCCAAGAUUUAAGAAAUCACACCCAAUACGUUAGGGCACGAUUCCUCUAGAAUCCCAAACUCGGAAUAUUUCAUUUACUUUAAAAAAACAUCCACUUAUCCAAGAUUUAAGAAAUCACACCCAAUACGUUAUGGCACAAUUCCUUUAAAAUCCCAAACUCGGAAUAUUUCCUUUAUUGUUUUUAGAAAAAAAAUUCAUUUCGAGAAUUCAAUGCGUCACAUCCAAUACGUUAGGACACAACGUGUUGAAUUCCCAAUAAUAAAUUCUCAUUUUUUGAUUAAAGAGAAAUGCUCGAUUGUUAGACUUAACGAAGAAAAUCGGAACCCAAUACGUUAGGGCUCAAUUUCCUUGAAAAUCCUAAAUUCAAGCAUUCUCUCAAUUUUGAAAAGUUUGAAAUCGAGUAAAGAAUGAUGUGAUGCUAUAUUAAAUAUACAAUGCAAUAAUAAAUAUUACAAUAGCCUAGAAAUAAUAUAAAUAAAUGAAUAAAUAAAAUCAAUAUACAUAAUAAAAAUAAUCACAUACAAAAUAUCAAAUAAAUCAUAAAAAAAUUCUUUUUAACAUAUAAACGAAAACAUGAAUUAAUAAUUGAAUGAAGAAAAUAAACAAAAUAUAAAGAAUAAAAGGCACAUAAUAUAUACAUUGAAAUUAAAAGCCAUACACAUAAUUUACAUAUGUAACUUUGGAUUAAAAUUUAUAAAAGCAGAAUGUAUAAUGCAUUUGUGAAAAUAAAAUAUAAAUUAUAAAGUGUUAAAAAAAUACAUAUAUUUGAGCAUUUAAAAAAAAUAAAUAUAUUCAUAUAUAUAUAUACAAGUAUAUAAAAAACUAGUUAAAAAUAUUAAUUUGUAUACAUACAUAUAUAUACAAAGAUAAAUAUAACAUAUAUAGAUUAUAAAAAAAUAAUUAUAUAUAAAUAAAAUAAAAUAAAAAUAAUUACCUCAUAUUAAAAAAAUAAAUAUGCGAAAAUAUUAGUUUUUAAAAAAAUAUAAAUACGCACAUAGAAACAAGUAUACAUAUAUAUAUAGCUAAAAUAAUAAUAAUUACAUAUGAAAAUAAUAAUAAUAAUUACAUUAACAAAAUUAACUAAUUUUAAGAAAAAUAUAAAAAGGAUUAAAUUGAACUACAAGUAAACAAAUUUGGGGUAAAUCUACAAAUAAAUAAAAUUUGGAGGACUAAAUUGAAUGAGCGAAUUACAUAGAGGGGCUAGAAGGGAAAUUUUCCCUUCUCCUUUAAAACGGUGUCGUUCAAAAGGAUUAAAUUGGAAUUUAAAAUAAAUAAAAGGGUAAAUUAAAAAAAUAAAGAAAACUUAAUUACAAAAACAUUAAAAGGCAGAGGGGCUAAAUAAAAAAAUAAAUAAAAUUCGCAGUGGUAUCACCUUCUCCAUUUUUUAAAAUCGUGAAUAAGUAAAAAAAAAUAAUCGAAAGAAAAAAAUAGUAAGCCACCUUUAAAAAACUGCCAAUCGUUCUUUUUUAUUCCUCCUCCUCUUUUCUCUUUUUUUUUUUUUUUACAAUGAAGGAAGAUGCCUCUAUUUAUAGUUGAGCCCCCCCAAAUCCAACGGUACAGAUCAAUUACAUCAACGGCUGAGAUUAAAGGGUAUCUACAAAUUAAAUCUCUAAGAUUACAAAAUCAUAUAUUAUAAGAUUGCAUAUCAUAUCGAAGAUUAUAUAUCAUAUCUAAGAUUACAUAUCAUAUCUAAGAUUGCAUAUCAUAUUUAGGAUUGCAUAUCAUAUCUAAGAUUGCAUAUCCUCAAAAAUUAUGUUUCCAUAUGUGAGCCAGGGCUAAAAUUAGGUAUUACAGUUCUCUUUGAAAAUUUUGCAUUAUCUAAAAAAAACAUAUUUCUCUUAAUAUUCGAGUGCUAUUAAUUUCAUCAAUAACUAAAUAUCAUCAAGUAUGAUAACAAAGAAAAAGCCCUAUUUUUGCUCAAAUGGCCAAAUGCCAAUUUUUUAAUGGUAGAAUGUCAUUUUAAACUUUUGUAAUGACCAUAUGGUCCUUUUUAUUUAAACUAUAGAAGUAGUUGUUUUUUAGGGAAAAAAACUUAUAUAUAUAUAUAUAUAUAUGUAAACUACGAAUGGAUUGAUAAUUUUUUGGUAACUGCUUUUUAAUAACUUUAAUGGGUUUAGGUUCUACUCCAUUAUAGGUAGACCAUAUCCUAUUCAAUCCAAUAUUGUCAAUCAAAAUAUAAUUUCAAAAAGAAAAUUUUAAUUACCAAAUAUGAAUUUUAUUAAUAUAGUACUCAUAUGACGUAGAUGUAUACAUGAAAAAUUGGUAUAGCUAAAUAGUUGAAGCUCUAAACCUAAAAAAAUACAUCGAAGCUCCCUAUCAAUUUAAAUUUUACUCGAUAAAUUUAAUAUCAAUUAUUAAAAUCAAUAUUGAGAUAGAAUCUUUCACCAUUUUCAAAAAGAUGGAAAUAAAACAAAUUAAUCAAAUAAUAAAAAUAUUUGAAUGGUUAAGGAAGGAGCUUUAAUCUUUUUAAGGCUUGGUUCGAUUCUAGCUUCAUAAUUUUGUUUGGGGUAGGGAAAUAAUUAAGAAGAAGAAAAUUGUGUUGAUAAUGUGUUAUGAAAUAAAUAACAAAGAGAAUAAAAUAAUUAAAAAAUAAGAGAACAAAAGAGUGUAUUUUUACUCAUAUACAAUGGUUUUCCAAAGUGAUUAUAUAUGGACAUAAGAAGUAUAAAUUACAUAAGAAUUCUAUUCCUCAUGAAUAUUAUAAUUUUAAUGUACAUCAAAUUAAUCUUGAUCUCGAUAAACAUCCACUUAAUAAUAAAAUAUUCAUAACAAAACAUAAAUAUAUAUCAAUGAAAAUAUCAAAAUCAUAAUUUAGCAUCAACAUUAAGCCUGAUUACAUUGGUUGAAACUGAUGUCCUACCUAUAUUAAUGACAAUUGAAACAUUUGUCAAAUGCAUAGUUUUAUACAUUGACACCCAACUGAAUACAUAAACUCACAUUUAUAGUCGAAGUGAUCUACAAACUUUAUAUAUAAUAUGACUAAAAUAAUAAAAUUAUCAGAACCACAAUUUGGCAUAAAUUCAAACAACCCUACCCACAAUCUUAUUAAUGAGCCUUCAAUUCAACAAUCAACAUUAUGUUACAUUUAUCACUCAACUGAAUACAUAAAUUCGCAUUUAUAGAUGAUAUUACUAAAAUAAUACUACCUGUAAUUAAGAAAGAAAAAAAUUUAAAUUAGAUAUGACACUUUUUUUUAUCACGAUUAUAUAAUUAAAAAAUUCACUAAAGAUAUAUAAAAUAAAUUACAUGUAAAAUUUUCGACUUGAUCUUACCAACUAAGAACCUUGAUGAACAUCUUGUAUAUUCAUAUCCAAUAUACUAAUGAAAGAGAUUAUAUUUAUAUUCAUUUUCCGCCUAUAAUUAGUUUCGAUGCAUAUAUCCUCAAUAUACUAAUUAAAUAGAUUAUAUUGAUUUUCUUUUGGUAAUAGAUUAUAGGUUAAAUUCUAUCAUCAGUCUAUGUACUUUGUGAAAGUUAUGAAUUUAAUCUUUAUAUCUUAAUUUAUCAUUUUUCGUCUUUGAAUUUUGCAGAAUUUAAAAUUUCAGUCCUCACCAAACGAUAACUAUUAAAUUUAUUCAGUUAAGUCUUUCUAUUUCCAAAAUCUGAUGUAGGAAACAUAUUAUUAUAUGUGUAAUGCCAUUUCAACUUAUUAUUUUUAUAAAUUACUCACUAAAAAUUCAGUUAAUGGAUGAUAGUUGUAAGAGCCCAAUUUCAUCCAGCCCAAAACCAAGAAAUAAAUAAACAAAAUAACAAACCAAAAAAUUAAAAAGUCUAACUCCAUUUACAAAAUAACGGCCCAAAUACAAAACCCUAACCCAAACCCAGUGUUACACAAGCCCAAGCCCAACUAACCUAAAGUUUUCAGAAACCAUAAAGCCCUAGGGUACCCACACCACCGCUUCUACCUCGUCAACGAACUCGACGCCUGAGGUCUGAUACCUCAUCUGCCCUUUCACCGAAAUGGAAGGCACAACUUUCCAGCGCCGUUGACCUUGCCAUGGGUACCUACAAAGAGAGAACGAAAAGGAUAGAGAGCGAAAACAGUGGAAACAACAGAAGCAACAAGAAAAAUAUAAAAAAAUAAUUGUUAUGUAAUAUAUGGCUAUAAAAGCCAUAACCACAGAUUGUAAUUUUUUCAUGAAGCAAUCAAAGAACAGAGAAAAUACAAAGAACAAAAAAAGUUAAAAGAAAAAGGUGAUUCAUUUUUUUUUACAUUCAAAAAAUAGAAUAAAAAAUAGAACCUUUUACUUGUUCGUCGUCAUCUUCGAUGUAAGAUGACUCCUUUUAUGAUGAAAAGGUUUUCGAAACUCAUAAACCGAAAGGCUUCUUUUGGGAUUUUUACGAUUCAGUGAAUUUUUGGGAAAUAUCGACCCCAGAUUUGGAUUCUGGGAGCUGAAAUGAUCAAAGGGGGUGUCGUUUUGAGGAUUUUAGCCACCGAGAAUAGCGAAGCUCGUCGCCGGCGACUAGUGACGGGAUGCAUCAAUAACGAACAAUUGUUAAUCCACUGCUUCUAGGAUAGUAUGAUCGGGUCAGUUGCCAAAUGGUACAAUCAGCUAAGCCGUGCCAAAAUCAACUCAUGGAAAGACUUGGCACAAGCUUUCAUGAAACAAUACAGCCAUGUAACUGAUAUGACACCCGAUAGAAUUACACUGCAAAACAUGAAGAAGAAACAAAGUGAAAACUUUAGGCAAUACACUCAGAGAUGGAGAAAGGUGGCAAAGCAAGUUCAGCCACCUCUUUUGGAGAAUGAGACAACAAUGCUUUUCAUAAACAUUCUGAAAGCCCCGUUCAUUAACCAUAUGCUGGGAAGUGCUACCAAGAGUUUCUUAGAUAUAGUAAUAUCUGGUGAAAUGAUUGAAAAUGCAAUAAGGAGUUGGAAAAUAGACACGGGGGAAAAUGCUAAAAAGUUUGCCCAAAAAAGAAAAAAAUAAAGUAAACACCGUGAGUGUGUAUAAUAAAAGCUAUUCAAAAUCGGUUACUGUAGGCCAACCAAAGACCGUGAUAACCAGCCUUCAAGGCCCUUCGAGGCAAGAAUCUAACUCAAGGCCAAACAAGGAAAAACUCCAAUUCACACCCAUCCCGAUGAUAUAUGGAGAGUUAUAUCAGAAUUUGUUCAACACGCAUGUGGUAUCCCCGUUUUACUUAAAAUCCAUGCAACCUCCAUUCCCAAAAUGGUAUGAUGCUAAUGCUCAAUGCGAGGACCACGCAAGAAUUGAGAACUGCACUACAUUUAAAAAGUUGAUUGAGAGGUUCAUCAAGAUAGAGAUUGUAAGGUUCGAUGAUCCUUCAAGACCUAAUGUGGCAGAAAAUCCGUUACCUAGUCAUUUUGACCAAAAGGUAAACACGAUAAUUGAGAGUAGAGGAAAGAAAACCAAAAUCAAUGUUGCAAGAGUGGAGGUAAACAUUAAUUUAGCAAAAAAUGAUAGACAUGGGAUUAAUCAUUCAAGAUUCAGAAGGGAUGCCCAAAGAAAUGAGAAGAUAUUGUGAGUUCCACAUUGAAGAAGGUCAUGAAAUCCAAGAGUACGCUGAGUUCAGAGCUCUAGUAAAAAGUCUAAUGGAUAACAAAGAAUUGGAAUUAUUUGAAGGUGUCAAAAGGUUGGAAGGAGGAAAUGUUUGCGCCUCAGAAAAAGGAUCAACGGAGAAGGUCUACAAGGUCAACCACCUAGUGGUGAUUAUUUCAUAACCAAGAAAUAUUGAAGCGGCAACAGAAGCUACGCCAAGAGUUGUAAUUCAGAAACCCGUGGCUUUUCCCUACAAUGAUAGCAAAAGGGAACUGUGGAAUUAUGAUUGUAACGUGAUGACCCCAAGAGAGGAGAACUCGGUUGGCACUUCAAAAGAGGGCUAGUAUAUUGGUUUCUUCACACGUAGUGGAAGACGCUAUGACCCUGCAAGUGUGAGAACCAAGCCCAUUAAGGAAAAAACUCUAGCAAUUAAGCAUAAGAAAAAGAAAUGGCUAGACGUGAAUCACUUGUUAAUGAGCUAGUAACUAAGAAUAAGGCUAAAAAAUUCUUGAAGUUCUUGAAGCAUAGCAAGUAUAGUGUUGUAGAACAACUACACAAAUAACCAACUCGUAUAUCAGGGCUAGCUUUGCUCUUCAGCUCAAAGACACAUCCUAGCACGUUGAUGGUGUUAAAUGAAACUUAUGUCACUAAUGAUAUCUCUGUAAACAAGCUAGACCGUUUGAUUAAAAAUCUGAAAGUCGACAAUUUUAUAUUUUUCAAUGAUGAUGAAAUUCCUCCAAGGGGCAUGGGAUUCACGAAGGUUUUACACAUCACUACCCGCUGUAAAGGAUAUACAUUACCAAAAGUGUUAAUCGACAAUAGAUCUGUGCUGAAUGUCUUGCAUUUAUCCACAUUGAAUAGAUUUCCAGUAGAUAGCUCUCAUAUGAAGACGUGCCAAAAUAUAUUGAGAACAUUUGAUGGUACAAAAAGAAGGGUGAUGGAGAGGAUUGAAAUACCUUUAUUAAUUGGUUUGAACACAUAUGAGGUAGAUUUUUGGUAAUGGAUAUCAAAACCCUCUUAUAACUGCUUGUUGGGUAGGCCUUGGAUUCAUGCAGCUAGGGCAAUGUCGUCGUCAUUGCACCAAAAUCUAAAACUAGUAACAGAGGGUCGACUAGUAACAAUAAACGUUGAAAUGGAUAUCAUUACACCCGUAAUUAAUGAUGCACCAUACAUAGGAGCGGAUGAAGAGGAAAUAAAAUGUUCCUUUCGAUCAAUGGAAUUUGUUAAUACAACUUUCAUUGUUGAAAGAAACAAGAUCCCAGUGCCAAAAAUAUCAGAACCAUGAAGAUGUGCCUGCAAUUGACGGUUGGGAAAGGAGCCUUACCUAGAAGAGGACUCAGAAAAUACAUUCAAAGAAGAGUCGAGGCAUCAAUGCUGAUGGAGAAAUAAGACUGCUUCAAUUUAGGAUACAAGUUAGAUGUAAGACAAAAGAAUAAGGAGCUAGAGAAAAAGCAAGAAAGAAGAAGAGCGCAACUAAGUGGGGGGAGAGAUCAAAUGGGAACCGAUGAUCUUUCCCCAUAUAUCUAAAAUGUUCAUGGCAGGAGAAACCAUAUAUCCUAAAUGAAGGAUGUUAGAAAAAGAAACUGUGGAAGGAAUGUUAGGAAACUUGAGCAUCAACGCCAUAUCCAAAUAAGAAAUUGGAGAAGAAAACCUAUCGGGCAUUUGUCUUUAUAUCCCUGGAAGUGUUCUGAACAAUUAGACUACGGAAGAGAUUCCUAUAAUUUUUAGAACUAAUUCAGAGUCUCCAGGUAUCAAUGAUACAAGUAACACUGCCACUAACUCAGAGUCUCCUUUUGAGCAGGAUAUGUGUCCAGAGGAACCUUAGGCCUUUAAAGGUGAUCGAGAUUACAACCUAUCUCUUGAUUUGUUAAGGAUGGUAGAACAAAAUGAGAAACAGAUCUUACCUCACGGGACUUUGAGUGUGAGUGACUUAUUGUAUUUGUGAUAAAAGAUAGUGAAAUUACUCACUAAAUUAGGCUCCGCAAACAUAGGGAAACUGAACUAUGUAAACAAACCUUAAUGUUAUUUUUGUUUUGUUUGCAUAGUUUUUUGCAGUGUUAAGCAACAGUGGUCACUACAGUCUAAUAAAUCCAUUGCAUUUGUUAUUUUAAGCAAACAAGCAACUUACAGUAACAACAAUAUUUAAUAAAAAAUUCAUAUAUAAAAUAUAAAUAUUUUAAUAAUAUAGAUAUGAGUAUUUGUUUAAAUUAUACUUUGCUUCAUUUAUCUAUUCCAAUUCUAUUGUGUCAUUAUGCACUAGACUUGAUCAUGAGUCGGGCCACUCGGCCCGCACGAAAAGUGAGAGUUUUUUGGCUCAGAAAAUGGGCAUAGACAAAAAAAAGGCUCGUUUUUAAAUACAUCAGGCUUCAGGUAAGUUUUUUGCCUCGGGCCUAGCCCGAAAAAAAAAACUCUUGUUGUUUUGUCACACUUUUGUUGUUAUUUCACUAUUAUAUUGUUACUAUUUUGUUGUUAUUGUUUGGAUAUUAUAUAACUCAUGUUUUAUUGUUAAUUUUGCUACUAUUUUAGAGGCAUUUGCUUGCUAACUUACGUCUAUCUUAGUAUUAUUUAAGUAUAACUUUUUUAAUUUAUUUUCAACUUGUUGAGAAACAUUUAUUUUAACGUUUAUAGUAUAUUUGAUGUUUUAUAUUUUUUUUAAAAUUUAUUUUUAUAUAAAAAUAAUAAUAUAAAAAAAUUUAAUACUGGCGAGCAAGACUCAAGUUUUAGCAUUUCUAUCUGGAUUAAAUUUGGGCAGAAUUUUAAGUUCAUUUUUCAAGUUGAACCUAGGUCUAAAAAAUAGGUCUAAUUUUUUUUUUCAGGCCGACACCGCCAUGAUCUAGUCUAAAACAAACGUAACCUAAAUCGAUACAUGAUAGAUUAACCUAUUCUGAAUCUUCCCAGAAACAAAACUAAAAAACAUUAAACACUACAACUACUAAUAUCACCGCGGCUUUCAAAGGAAACCAUGUGGGCUAUAAUCACCUCACUUCUACCAUUUUCAAAGCUUUCAUAUGAGUUUAAAUCAAUUUCAAUGGGGUUUUUUACAAAAUUAUUAUAAAAAAAAAUAAAAAUAACUAAAAUAUUAUAACUUUUUUAUUUACCAAAAUAUUAUAAUUUUUUUAUUUACCAAAAUAUAUCAAAAAAAACAAAAAAAAUAGAAAAAAAACUGACAGCAGCCUGAUCAGGCCAAUCACAUUGGCGGUUUGGUGCCAAAGAGAUUGGCGGCACCAAUGGUGCCAAAGAGAUUGGCAGCGCCAAUUGUGUCAAAGGACUAAAAUGUAACUAUCUGUAGUUUUAAGGACCUGACAUGAAAUUUACCAUUUUAAAUUUUGAAAGUUAAUUGCUGCUGCUGUGCACACUAAAAUUGAAAUAUGGCUAAUUGUCUUCUAAGACCUCCUUAUUUAUAAUUUUAUUUUUAUUCCCCUUCAACUCACUUUUUUAUUUAAUAAACAAGCCCUCAACCUAUUUUUGUAGUUAAAUAAGCUCUUAAUCUAUGAUUUUUACUCAUAAAAGUCCUUUAUUUUAUUAUUAAAGUAAAUAUAUUUUACCUAAUGUUUGAUGUUCCAUUUUUAUUCUCAAUAAGUUAUAUCUAAGUUAUCUUUGGACUUUAAUUUUUCUUUAGAUUUAUUUUUAUUUAUUUUUAAAUAUACUCUAGAUAUUAAUACAUACCAUUGCGCUCUUCAAUAUUUGAUUAUUAUUAUAGUUUAUUCGAAUAUAUAUUACUUAUAACUAUAAUUAUAUUUAUAAAUUUUAAAAAAUUAUUAUUUAAUUUACCAAUAAUGUUUAAUUUUAUAUAUCAUGUCGAUUGAGUUUUAACUUAAUUGGUAUGAGUAUUGUUGUGAAUGCAGGAGGACGUGAGUUUAAGUACAUUGGAGUGUAUUAUCCUCUUAUUUAUGGGUUGCAGAGAGACUAUGGAUAAUUCUAGACAUUAUGUCAAAAAAAUAAAUAUGAUCAUAAACUAUAGUGAGAUUUUUCAAAAAANNNNNNNNNNNNNNNNNNNNNNNNNNNNNNNNNNNNNNNNNNNNNNNNNNNNNNNNNNNNNNNNNNNNNNNNNNNNNNNNNNNNNNNNNNNNNNNNNNNNNNNNNNNNNNNNNNNNNNNNNNNNNNNNNNNNNNNNNNNNNNNNNNNNNNNNNNNNNNNNNNNNNNNNNNNNNNNNNNNNNNNNNNNNNNNNNNNNNNNNNNNNNNNNNNNNNNNNNNNNNNNNNNNNNNNNNNNNNNNNNNNNNNNNNNNNNNNNNNNNNNNNNNNNNNNNNNNNNNNNNNNNNNNNNNNNNNNNNNNNNNNNNNNNNNNNNNNNNNNNNNNNNNNNNNNNNNNNNNNNNNNNNNNNNNNNNNNNNUAAUAUUUUAAUUGAAAUCAUAAAAUUAAGAAAUUGAAUAUCAAUUUUCUUCUUCACCAAACAUAUCUAUAACUUUGUGAAAAGAAAGUUUGUUGAAAUAGUAUCACUUCAAUAACUAUAUUUUCUUCAGGAUUAAUAUUUUAAUACUUUUUAUCCUAUCAAGGCAAUUGCCAGAGAAGAUCAGAACUAGGCUGAAGAUUGAACCGAUUGUUGUAGAGAUUAAGACGAAAUAAUAUGGCAUUAUUUUUAUUGUUAAAAUUUUAUUACUUUUAUAAAACUCGAUCACAGUAGAGUGUGUAAUUUAAGUAUUUGAAAUAUUUAAAUUUAUAAUUUAUUAAUAUUAUUUAAAUAAUGUAUUAUGUAAAAACUAGGGGUUUACUUGCUUAGCAAACAAAAAAUGUGACUAAAAUGUUACUUGAAAUUGUAGCCACAGUUUCAAUCACAAAACCUUUAAUCACAAAACGAGAAGUGCAAAAAAAGUAAAGAUGAACACCAAGAUUGUUUACACAGUUCGACCUGAGUCUAUGUCUGUGGGGUCUUCCCUAGAGCAAUUGAUGUAUGUUCACGUGACUAACUAAAAAUACGACAAAGGCAAAUGCACCUAUCGAUAAAUAGUAGAACUAUGGUGAGUAAAUGUAUCGUAUCCACAAGGACUAAAAGUAUUAGUAAUUACUGUUUUCCUAAUAUUCAGCCGACAAAUUGGAGUGAUUGUUUUAAACUAAGAUUUACUAAAUUAACCUAACUAAAUAACUCAACAGAGAGUGAAUCAGGAAAAUAAUCGAAUAAUAACCAAUGAGAGAAAUAAUACCUAGGAAAGAAUCCACCUAGACUUCAUCUAUUAUUAUGAAUCUAAUUUAAACGAUUUAUUCACUUGGUAUCUUGAUCCGUAGAAAUCUCUNNNNNNNNNNNNNNNNNNNNNNNNNNNNNNNNNNNNNNNNNNNNNNNNNNNNNNNNNNNNNNNNNNNNNNNNNNNNNNNNNNNNNNNNNNNNNNNNNNNNNNNNNNNNNNNNNNNNNNNNNNNNNNNNNNNNNNNNNNNNNNNNNNNNNNNNNNNNNNNNNNNNNNNNNNNNNNNNNNNNNNNNNNNNNNNNNNNNNNNNNNNNNNNNNNNNNNNNNNNNNNNNNNNNNNNNNNNNNNNNNNNNNNNNNNNNNNNNNNNNNNNNNNNNNNNNNNNNNNNNNNNNNNNNNNNNNNNNNNNNNNNNNNNNNNNNNNNNNNNNNNNNNNNNNNNNNNNNNNNNNNNNNNNNNNNNNNNNNNNNNNNNNNNNNNNNNNNNNNNNNNNNNNNNNNNNNNNNNNNNNNNNNNNNNNNNNNNNNNNNNNNNNNNNNNNNNNNNNNNNNNNNNNNNNNNNNNNNNNNNNNNNNNNNNNNNNNNNNNNNNNNNNNNNNNNNNNNNNNNNNNNNNNNNNNNNNNNNNNNNNNNNNNNNNNNNNNNNNNNNNNNNNNNNNNNNNNNNNNNNNNNNNNNNNNNNNNNNNNNNNNNNNNNNNNNNNNNNNNNNNNNNNNNNNNNNNNNNNNNNNNNNNNNNNNNNNNNNNNNNNNNNNNNNNNNNNNNNNNNNNNNNNNNNNNNNNNNNNNNNNNNNNNNNNNNNNNNNNNNNNNNNNNNNNNNNNNNNNNNNNNNNNNNNNNNNNNNNNNNNNNNNNNNNNNNNNNNNNNNNNNNNNNNNNNNNNNNNNNNNNNNNNNNNNNNNNNNNNNNNNNNNNNNNNNNNNNNNNNNNNNNNNNNNNNNNNNNNNNNNNNNNNNNNNNNNNNNNNNNNNNNNNNNNNNNNNNNNNNNNNNNNNNNNNNNNNNNNNNNNNNNNNNNNNNNNNNNNNNNNNNNNNNNNNNNNNNNNNNNNNNNNNNNNNNNNNNNNNNNNNNNNNNNNNNNNNNNNNNNNNNNNNNNNNNNNNNNNNNNNNNNNNNNNNNNNNNNNNNNNNNNNNNNNNNNNNNNNNNNNNNNNNNNNNNNNNNNNNNNNNNNNNNNNNNNNNNNNNNNNNNNNNNNNNNNNNNNNNNNNNNNNNNNNNNNNNNNNNNNNNNNNNNNNNNNNNNNNNNNNNNNNNNNNNNNNNNNNNNNNNNNNNNNNNNNNNNNNNNNNNNNNNNNNNNNNNNNNNNNNNNNNNNNNNNNNNNNNNNNNNNNNNNNNNNNNNNNNNNNNNNNNNNNNNNNNNNNNNNNNNNNNNNNNNNNNNNNNNNNNNNNNNNNNNNNNNNNNNNNNNNNNNNNNNNNNNNNNNNNNNNNNNNNNNNNNNNNNNNNNNNNNNNNNNNNNNNNNNNNNNNNNNNNNNNNNNNNNNNNNNNNNNNNNNNNNNNNNNNNNNNNNNNNNNNNNNNNNNNNNNNNNNNNNNNNNNNNNNNNNNNNNNNNNNNNNNNNNNNNNNNNNNNNNNNNNNNNNNNNNNNNNNNNNNNNNNNNNNNNNNNNNNNNNNNNNNNNNNNNNNNNNNNNNNNNNNNNNNNNNNNNNNNNNNNNNNNNNNNNNNNNNNNNNNNNNNNNNNNNNNNNNNNNNNNNNCAAUCUUCAAGUCUUCAAUUUUAACUCAAGUGGUCUUCAUGCGUUGGGUUUUACUCGUCCAAAGAUUUUCAUAAUAAUUAGUCCAAUGCUUUUGUUCUACAAUUUGUUAACUCUUCAAAUAGGCAAGUAGGGCAAUGAAAUAGUGCCUAAGGUUGUGACAACUGUUUCAACCACAAAAACAACAAUAGAAUUAAUCUUGUCUUUAAAUAUGUCAACACUCUCCCCUUUUGGAAAUUUCUGAACAAAACAUAUACAAGAAAAAUAAAACAAUCAUAAUUACAUAUUAUUCCCCUAGGUAUCUCCCCCUUAAUCAAAGUAUCAGACAUUGAGGAGGCCAAAGAUAUCGAUGACAUGAGGACUAAUGAGUUAAUUCUAACACCCUAAACCCGACCUAAACAUUACGCACAGAUCUAAAAAAGUUACCAUGAUUCAAUUUGAAAAUCCAAAAAUUAGUUGGGCUUGUAGAAAUAGCACUAGCUUUUGAUAAAAGUAAUUUUGAUUUAUUUUAAAAGAAAAUAUCUUUCUUACUCAAUUCAUUAAUCUUGUCAAUUAAAUUUAUACCUUAAAAACACUUACGUUUGUAGUGAAACUCUUAGUUAAAUUCAAUUUUGAAAAUGUAGUUUGAUUUUGAAAAUCCAAUGUUUUGCUAAUAGACUAAUUAUAAUUUUAAAACGAUAAAACGGUUUAAAACAGAAAUUAAAAGUCCAAAUCUAAAUACAGUCUCAAAAGUCCAAAAUAAUCCAAUGAAACAAAAAUAGAUUAAUCUAGACAAAAUUUAAGGAAAUGUAAUGCAAAUAUGUAAAACCGAGCUCUGAUCACUCUGAUCUGUCCUAUGUCUGAGGGUUACCUAAGAAUCAAACAAAUAGAGAAUGAGCUUACAAGCUCAGUGUGGAACUUACUAUAAUUUAAACAGCAAAUACCAUUUCAGACAUGUGUUCUGGUACCAAUAAGACAAAUUUCAUAAACAAAAACAUAUGCAUAUCAGAUACAGAUUAAAUUCCUACCUCCAUCCGCUAGACACCAUCUCUGACCAUCCCUUCAUACCAAUUAGGGUAUUAAAUACCCAACCAGCCCUACACACCAAUUAGUGUCUAUAUGACACUUUUCAGAGUACUUGCAGUUUAGUUGCCAGAUCAAUAAGCGAUAUACCCUCCAAAUACAGAUACACAUGGCUACACUAUCAAAUUAAACAGAUAAAUUAAACUGCCAGCAUUUCCUCCAUAAACAAAUUUCCCACCACAAUGCAUAUGCAAAACUAGACAGAUAUCACAUAGUGUAUGACAUACAUGUUUUUCAUAUCAUAUUCAUAUCAUACUUAGCAUAUAACAGAUCAUGCUAUCACAUAUAACAUACUACCUAUGUGUUUACUAGUCAUAUUAAACAGUAAUAGAGUAACAGAAAUCAUGGUUUAUAGGCAAAAUUAUACCAUGCAGACCCUACAAAAGGGCUAUAUUCAAUUCGCAUGGCAACUACAACCUCCGGGAAAAAUUUUAGAAUUUGGACCCACACGCCCGUGUGGCGUUGAUAGUCCAAUUUUUCGGUUUUCAGUAAUUUGCAAUUUUUAGGGUUUUCAUUACACGCUUGAUAUGAUUAUGAUGCAAAUGCAACCAUGAGACUUCUCAAACCUAGAAACGACAAUUAAAUCUCCAAUUGAGAUGAUUCCCAAACCAAAUUCACAAAAAUUGAUAUAUCCAACAUAAAGUUUAAACGAAGAAUUUCAACCUAAAACCCCAAAUUGACUCCUUAUCUUCAAGAAAUAGCAGCCCACCAACGAUUCUAGGUCACCGAAAAAUUAAUUGCCUCGCCAACUUCACCUAGAAACUCAAACAAUUAAUCAUACGGAACAUUUUUAACCCACAACUAACAAAAAGAAUAAUAAAAACAAACUCACUUACUAUAGGAGAAAAUUUAAUGGUACUUGCACAAGUAAUUGAUAGAAUGAUUAAUGCUUCAAUGAUGAUUUUCUAUGGCACUUACAAGCAUAAAAUUCACCAUUUAAACCAAAUAAUCGUCCAAAAAUCACAUUAAGAAUGAGAUAAAACAUGCUACUUUUAGCACUUAUCAAGGAGACUCAAGGUCAAGCAUCCAAUUUCUCCCACUCAUCUCAUAAGUCACCUCUUUGCUAUUUUGUAUGUAUACAAGUGUUUUGGGUCAUAUGGCAUGUACCUAGAUUAGUUAGCAUGUUUUUAAAUUAAUAUUUGAUACUUUUGACAUUAUAACCUAUAAAGUUUUAAAAAUUAAGUUUUAUCCUUUGAUUAGGGAUAAUCUUUGUAUGUUUAUAUAAGUUUGAAUGUGUUAGUUAAUAGGUUAAACCUUAAUGUAUUGGAUACUAUGUUUAUCUAUGUUUAUUUACGUACCAUUGCUCCGCCUAAGCUUUGGACAUCUAGUUUUUAUGCUCAUUCCAGAAAAGAAAAGACUCUCAUCGUUCUCAUUGAAAGUAUUGCAUUAUCUAAGAGAUAUAUUUCUUAAUAUUCGAGUGCCAUCAAUUUCAUCAAUGAUGAAAUAUCAUCAAAUAUGUAAACCACUUCAAAUAAAUAGCAAUGGCAAAAACCAACUUUUGUUCAACGGCCAAAUGCCAAAUUUUUUUAAUCUAUCAAAGCAGUUGUUUUUAUAAGAAAAAAACUUCUUUAUAUUUUAACUACCAAUAUUUGGUAACUACUUUUUAAUACCUUUAAUGGGUUUAGGUUCUAAACCAUUAUAGGUAGAUGAGAUCCGAUUCGAUUUAAUAUUUCCAAUUAAAAUAUAAUCUCAAAAAGAAAAUUCUAAUAAAAUUACAAACUUACCAAUUAUGAAUCUGAUUAUAAUACGAUGUCAAAAUAUAUGUGAAAAAUUGAUGUAGCUGAAUGUUUGAAGCCCAAGACCUAAAAUAAAAAAUGGAGUUCCUUACCAAUCUAAAUUUUACUCGAUAAAUCUAAUAUCAAUGAUCAAAAUCAACACUAAGAUAGAAUCUUUCACCAUCCUCAAAAAGAUAGGAAUAAAAUAAAUUAAUCAAAUAAUUCAUAAUUAAUCAUGAAUUAAAAUUAAAAUUAAAAUUAAUCUAGAUAUGAAAUAUUAAAAAAACAAACAAACAAACCUUCCUGCAAAUCUUGCCAUCCGGCAAUUUAAGAUCCCAGAGAAUAGAUCUGAUUUUCAAUCCUCAAAUGAAUAAAUUUGAUCAUAUAUCAAUAGGGUUUUAUAAAAUCUUUGUGCAUAAGGCAUCAAAGUGUUGGAGUAAUCAAGUGGUAUAAGGUGCUUGGAGCAUUAGAGGUUUUGGGUUUGAAUCUUCCCACCAGCAUUGGUUUCUUUCUCUUCUAUGCAACAGCAUCAUUUACAGAUUUCUUUACAUAAAAUAAUGAAAAUAUUUGAAUGCUUAAGGAAGGAGCUUUAAUUUUUAAUGCUUGGUUGUGGAACUUUUUUCAUAAUUUUCUUUGGGGCUAAGGAAAUAAUUAAGAAGAGGAAAAAGUUUGUUUGGGGACUAUGGAAAAUAACUAAGAAGAAAAAAGAGAGGAAAAGAGAACCAAUUUUUAUUCAUCAAUACAGAUAUAUUUAAUGGUUCUCCAAAAUAUAUAUAUUUAUAGACAUAAAUUUAUAAAUUACAUAGAAUUUUACUCUUAAUAAACAUUAAUUUUAAUGUAUAUCAAACUAUUUUUUAUCUUAAUAAACAUUCAUUUAAUAAUAAAAUAUUUAUAAUAAAAAUAAUUUUAUAUCAAAUUUAAAUACAAAAAUUAAAGUGAAGCAUAAUAAUAAUAUCAAAACCAUAAUUUCGCGUAAAUUCAAACAACCCUACCGACAAUCUUAUUAAUGAGCCUUGAAUUGAACCGUUAACAUUAGAUGAUCAUGUGAUGUUCUACCUAUAAUAAUGAUGGGCCAACUUUAUACAUUUGUCACUCAACUGAAUAACAUAAAUUCAAUGAUUGUAUAGAGAUAUUCCUACGCCUUUGGUAAUUUACCUUCUAGCGGUUUCCUCAGCUUGAUCCAGUUGAUAUUUGUUUUUUUUUUUUUUUUGAAAAAACCGGGGUCGAAUGUGGAGAUUAAAGAUGUUCUUUUUUGAUAUGGCACCUCUUAAGGUACCAGGUAGCGAUAGUUUUCAUGCCUUUUUCUUCCAAAAGCAGUGAGAUAUUAUUGGGGGAGCGGUUUGUGAUUGGGUCAGGAAGAUCUUUUAUGAAAAUUCUGUUGAUCCUAAUCUGAAAUUUCAAAUUUUGAAAUUUUGCUCCUCUGAUUUAAGCACAUUUAAAAUAAAUUAAUAUUCAGGAAAAUUAACACAAGAGAUAAGCACAUAUAACUGAGAACAAGAUCCAAGUAUUUAUCGUGUAAAAUAGAAUUCAAAUAAUAGAAUUCAAAUAAUAGAAUUCAUUAUAGGGUUCAUCUCCCCUAGGUAUCUAGAGAAUUAACUCAUAAUUAUAAAUAAAAAACAUCUCAAAGUCAGUAUAAUCACAAGAGAUAAAAAAAACUCUUAAAGAACUUCAAAGAAAUUAAAAAGAAGUCUUCAAUCUUGAUGAAAUCUGCUUCAGAGUUGGCUUCAAUGGUGUUCUUCGAGUUGUUUUCUUCAAUGCUCUCUGAUGGCUCCCUAUUCUGUUAUUCUAUUUGGUAUUUAUAGGUCUUAGAAUGCCCAAAAAGCCUAAAAAUUACAUUUUUCUGCGUGUUUGGAAUGCGAAUCGUGAAAUCAACACGGUCUGACACAUGGCCGUGUGGCAGUCCGUGUGGCUCACACAGUUGUGUGUCCAGCUCGUGUGGGAAGACCCAGCCCUUGUGGCUCCUAAAAUCUACUCUGAUUAUCUAAUUUUUGCUCUUUUUGCUCUCAAAUGCUCUCCUAAGUAUAGAAACAUGAAUUUAAAGGAUUAGGAGCAUAAAAUUCACCAUUUUGCAUAAAUAAUCAUCCAAAAACGCAUUAAGAAUGAGAUUAAAACAUGUUACUUUUAUCACUUAUCAAAUGCUUUAGUUUUCCACCCAUCCAUAUGAACCGCCCUCGAGCUUUGCUAGACACACCAACCCAUAUAACAAAAACUGACCAUCCCUGAUUUGAUUUCUGGUGAUGAUGGUCAUUGACUAGUCAUCUGUGACGAUGACUUUCACUACCACCCGAUUUGGUCCGAUUUUGAUGGUGUUUUAAAACGACCAUACUGUCCUAUCCGGUUUUGGUCCUAAAUUAAUUUAGAUAGUGUUUUGAUGGUCCUAAAUUUAAACCUGUAUGCAUAGUACAAGAUUAGUACAAGAUUAGUAUAUUUAACUUCUAUUGUUUGGGUCUAGACAAAUUUCAAAAUUUAAAAAGUAUAGGGACUAAAAUUAAUUAAUUUGAAAAGUAUAGAAACUAAAUUUGAUCAAAUUAAAAUAUAGGAACUAAAUAUAGAACUUUUGCAAAAUACAGGAACUAAUAGUAAAUUUUAACCUAGAUUAUAUUGUUAUUCAUUAUUGGCCUAUAAUUAGUUUCGAUGCAUAAAUCAACAUAAAAAUCGGAACUCUAAAUUGACACAAGAAUGCUUUGAGAGAGUGCAAACUAUUUAUCUUGAUCUCGAUAAACAUCCACCUAAUAAUAAGAUAUUCAUAACAAAAAUAUUAAUAAAAAAUAAUAAAAAUAUCAAAAUCAUAAGUUAGCAUCAACAUUAAGUUUGAUUACAUUGGUUGAAACUGAUGUACUACCAAUAUUAAUGACAAUUGAAGCAUUUGUCAAAUGCCCAUAAUUUUAUACAUUGAAACUCAACUGAAUACAUAACCUCACAUUUAUAGUCGAUGUGAUCUACAAAUUCUAUAUAUAAUAUUACUAAAAUUAUCAGAACCAUAAUUUGGCAUAAAUUCAAACAACCCUACCGACAAUCUUAUUAAUGAGCCUUAAUUGGUUGAAUGCGAUGUACUGCCUAUAUUAAUUACAACUGAACCACGUGUCAAAAUGCCUGUUAAUAGGGCCAACUUUAUACAUUUAUAACUCAACUGAAUACAUAAAUUCACAUUUAUAUAUGAUAUUACUAAAAUAAUACUAGCCGUAAUUAAGAAAGAAAAAAAUUUUAAUUAGAUAUGACACUUUUUUAAUCACGAUUAUAUAAUUAAAAAAUUCACUAAAGAUAUAUAAUAUAAAUUACAUGUAAAAUUUUCGAAUUCAUCUUACCAACUUAGAACUGUGAUGAACAUCUUGUAUAUUCAUAUCCAAUAUACUAAUGAAAGAGAUUAUAUUUAUAUUCAUUUUCCGCCUAUAAUUAGUUUCGAUGCAUAUAUCCUCAAUAUACUAAUUAAAUAGAUUAUAUUGAUUUUCUUUUGGUAAUAGAUUAUAGGUUAAAUUCUGUCAUCAGUCUAUGUACUUUGUGAAAGUUGUAGAUUUAAUUUUUAUAUUUUAAUUUAUCACUUUUCGUACGUCUUUGAAUUUUGCAGAAUUUAAAAUUUCAGUCAUCACCAAACGAUAACUAUUAAAUUCAUUCAGUUAAGUUUUUCUAUUUCUAAAAUCUGAUGUAGGAAACAUAUUAUUAUAUGUGUAAUGUCAUUUCAACUUGUUAUUUUUAUAAAUUACUCACUAAAAAUUCAGUUAAUGGAUGAUAGUUGUAAGGGCUCAAUUUCGUCCAGCCCAAAACCAAGAAAUAAAUAAACAAAAUAAAAAACCAAAAAAUUAAAAAGUCCAAGUCCAUUUACAAAAUAAUGGCCCAAAUACAAAACCCUAACCCAGUGUUACACAAUCCCAAGCCCAACUAACUUAAAGUUUUCAGAAACCCUAAAGCCCUAGGGUACCCACACCGCCGCUUCCGCCUCGUCAGUGAACUCGACGCCCGAGGUCUGACACCUCGUCUGCCCUUUCAUCGAAAUGGCAAGGCACAGCUUUCCAAUGCCGUUGACCUUGCCAUGGGUACCUACAAAGAGAGAACGAAAAGGACAGAGAGGGAAAACAGUGGAAACAGCAAAAGCAACGAGAAAAAAUAUAAAAAAAUAAUUAAUAUGUAAUAUAUGCCUAUAAAAGUCAUAACCACGGAUUGUAAUUUUUAACAAUGAUACAAGAAACGCUGCCGUUGACUCAGAGUCUCCUUUUGAGCAGGAUAUGUGUCCAGAGGAACCCUAGGACUCUAAAGGUGAUCGAGAUUAUAACCUACCUCCUGAUUUGUUAAGGAUGAUAGAACAAAAUAAGAAACAGAUCCUACCUCACAGGACUUUGAGUGUGAGUGACUUAUUGUAUUCGUGAUAAAAGAUAGUGGAAUUACUCACUGAAUUAGGCUCCGCAAACAUAGGGAAACUGAACUAUGUAAACAAACCUUAGUGUUAUUUUUGUUUUGUUUGCAUAAUUUUUUGCGGUGUUAAGCAGCAGUGGUCACUACAGUCUAACACUUCCAGUGCAUUUGUUAUUUUAAGCAAACAAGCAACUUGCGGUAACAACAAUAUUUAAUAAAAAAAUUCAUAUAUAAAAUAUAAAUAUUUUAAUAAUAUAGAUAUGAGUAUUUUAAUAAAAUUCAUAUACAAAAUUUUUAUCUUUGAACCCUUUAAUAAUUAAAUUUUUAUAUUGGUCCCCAACACUGAAUUUAUGGUUUUGCCCAUAAAUAUUAGAUAUGAAUUAGGUUAUAUUUUAAAAAUUACAAAAAAAAAAAACAACAAUCUUUUGAUUUCAAUCUUGUAAUUUAAAACAAUGUAUCAAAGUAGUUAGAUAAAUAUUCAUUAUUGGCCUAUAAUUGAUUAUGAUGCAUAUAUCCCACCAAUAGGAAUACUUAUCUAUUAUUUUUGUAUCAGUCAUUUGCUAAACUUGAUAAAUAAUAAACUCAAGUGGUUUCUUACAAAGCUUCAUAUAUAUUAAGCUCUAUUUUACUUUUAUUCAAUUUCUUUUGUUCUAAUGUUAUCCUCAUUUCAUUUUAUAAAUUAUCUGAAUAAAAGAACUUAAAGAUCCUUACGGAUUUCCAGUAAAUAUCCUCAUUAAGUCAACCUCUCCUCCUCAUCGGUGUGCUUCUUCUUCUUGGGUUAUCAACAGGUUCUGUUCUCCUUUUCUCUGUCUAUUGUUUUUGUUGAUCGUGAUUUGUUCUUGGGUGUGCCUCUCCUCCUCUGGUGUUUUUGCUCCUGUAUGUUUUAUAUUGAAGGAUCUUGUUAAUUUGUUGCAAAGGUGUCAAGCAAAAUGCUCCUGCAUGAAUAGAUUUUGGUCUUAGGUUUGCUAGAUCUUCUUCCCUAAUCUGUUUAAUCGUCUCCCUAAUUUUAAACAAUCUAAUUAGCUUGCUAAAAAAUUACAGCCUUGUUCGUCACCUGUUCUCGCGAUUCAUCGAAGGUAGAUUUCUACUCACAUUAUUGAUUGGAAGCUCUAGGGUUUUCUUUUUCUUUUUUUUUUUUCUACUUUCUUGAUCUAUUUCUUUGUUUCUUUAAUUGAUUUUUUAUUUUUUAUUUUGUUCAAUUGCUGAGGUUCGACGAAUGAAGUAGGAUUGAACUGGUAAUUUUUGAGCUUAAACUGGCUUUACUGUGUUAAAUGGAGCAUUUCAUUUGAUGAAACUAGAUUUUGUUAGUCAAAAAAAUGAAGAAACAUUGAGGAAUUUAACUGAAAUAAUAUUGGUUUUUUUCUCGUUUGAUUCAAUCUUGGCUUGGAUUUAAUUGAAGUAAGGAAAGUGAAGUUGAAUUCAAUUAUUCGUAUCCUUGUGCCAUGAUAAAAAAUGCUAGGAACACAAGAGCGCAGAAAAUCGAGUUGUCACCUAUUGCAUACUGUGAAUUUCCAUGCUGUGAAUUUCUAGGCAUUGUAACUUCACCUGUCUGCUGUUGUCUAAAGUUGUGCAUUUGUUCAGUACCUAGGCGAAAAUUGAGUUGUCACCUAUUGCAUACUUUAGCUUUGCAGCAAUUUUUUGUUUCAAAACGAGUGAUGUAGGAUAAGGCUUUAGCUUUGCAAAAUGUUGUGUGUUUCAAAACAAGUGAUGUAAGAUAAGUAAGGAGAAGAGAUAGACUAUUGGGAAAAUCUGAAAUUGACUGGUAAUAAUGUGUGAGGAGCAGACAAAAUUGGGAGGAAACAAAAGAAAUAUAUAGAGAACAUCGAAAAGGAAUCAACACAGUAAGGAAUCAAACUCAGUGAGAUUGAUAUUAUUUAGAAUUUUUAGAAUCAAUUAGCACCUCUCGUAUGUAUAUAUUAUUUUUGUGUAUUAAAUAAGAAUUACAACCCCAUGCGAAUGUUUAACAUCACCCAUCAACGACAUUAUAAAUUAUUAAGUAAACAUACGUUUAUUAUUUGAGGUUUACGCAUGUACUUAUGUUUACAACUUGAGAAUUUAAUAAUGGAUUAAAUCGGCAUAAUGUCAAUAAUGAAAUGCAUUUUCUAAUGAGUAUUCGACGUCACCAUAAGCCAUAAGCCAUUUUCAUCUUAUAGCAAUAACACAAGGCAUAGCAUUGACAUAUAUACUGAUAUAUAAAUAAAUUUUUAAUUUAUUGAUAUAUAUUAUAUAUCUUUUUAGUCUGUUGCUCAGCUGGAGGUAUAGCAAAACAAAUGGCAGUGUUCUUCUGCUAGAGUUUGGUUAUUUUGCUGAAAUUUAUUUAUUGGGCUAACUUUUUUGAGCUAUGAAUCUUAAGUCAUAAUGUGUUAAUGAUAUGGUUGUAAAAGGUUUUUCCACACAUAAACCCUGAUUUCUAACUUUAUCAAUCUCUGAUUCAUGAUUCUGAUUCUGAUUCUGAUAUGCUUGUUUUAUUAAAUUUGUGCUGCAGAGAUGGGCAAAUAGCGUUAGUAGCAAUUUUUGUUUUGAUGCAUGAGAGGUAAAUUGAAUUGGUGGUUCAAUCGUGAUUUUACAUUCAUAUGGGUUUUAUUCGCAAGUGCCUUGAGUAAACUAUUAUAGUAGAUUGUUUAUUUUAAAUGUAGUAGUUGAUCCUCAUAUAUGAGGGGAAGAGAUUAAUAUAUUUUGAAUUUGACUUGCUGCAUGCAGUAAUUCUGUAGCUAAGGAGCGAAAACGUGCUCUAAUUCUAUGCUGGUUUAAGUAAAGAGUGUUAUUAACAAUCAAUUACAUAGGUUCCAAAAAGGAAAUAUUUUCAAUACACAUUAGAAAGUCAAACUUGAACACAUUAGCUUAACUUGAACACAAUUACAUAAGUUCUUUCAAUAUGAAGAACGAGGAUUGAGCUUGAACACAUUAGCCUAACUACAAUGAUUAGAAAGUCAAAACCAUUCAUCUUGUUUAAAGACUCAAUUUCCGUUGAUGUCGAAAUAAUCAAUUUUAAGAUUAAAUUUAUUAAUUCGAGUCAUCUAAAAAGUUGAAACGAGAACAUCAUGAGUGGAAUAUGGGAGUGAGAAAUGAAAUUAGUUAGUAAUUAUAUUGAUUAAGUUAUUAUACAAAUAAUACAGGGAGUAAAUUGUAAGGUUAAUUAAAUGAGGAGAUUUGGUUAAAACUUUAUGCAAGCCCUUAUUGUGCAAUUAAGCCAAGGAUUAAUAAACCAUUAUUAAAUUUAGUUUAGUGGAUUGCCAUGAAAUGAUUGGUUGAUUGCCACUAUUGAAACUUUGAGAAAAUAUGACCAUUGAAUUUUCAUUAAUUAUGUUUGAUUAAAAUGUAAAAAAUUAUAAUAUUAAACAUAAUUAGUUACUCAUCUUUCUCCACCGAAAUCUCUUGAGGAAAGUUUGGUCUCUUAUUUCUCAUUAAUUAUGACGGUAGCUUUUUUAGUUAAAAGUAAGAAGUAUAAAAAAAUUUGGCUUCAAAAAUUUUCUCAAGGUUGAAGAUAUUGAUACUUUUAUGUGAUGUAAACAAUGUUGUUGUUAUUAUGUGGUGUACUACUUAAUUAUGCAUUUGGGUAAUAUUAAUUUUUAGUAUUAAUUGUGGUUUGGAAGCUAAUUUACAAUUAUUCGAUCCUUGUUUUUUAAUUUUUUAUAACACAAUUACAAAUGAUUUAUUUGACUUUGGUUGUUUUCAAUUUAUGAUGAUUAAUAUUCUAGCUUAAUAAUUGAGUAUUAUUAUAUAUUUAAUUUGAUUUGUUUAUUUAUAAAUAAAUCAUUGCAAUAUAUGUAAAAAUAAUUUAAAAUAUAUAUUUAUUAAUAUGUAUAUUAAAUUUAUUAAUAUAUGUAAAAACAGUUUUUCUGGAAAAUAUUUUCAGGAAAUCUGCCAAACAACACAAAUUCAUCCAAACACUAGAAAAGUAAAUCAUUUUCUAGAAAAGUAAAUCAUUUUCCAGAAAUCAUUUUCCGAAAAAUAUUUUACUGGCAAACAAACGGAGCCUAAAUAUAUACAAAAGAAGUUAUGUUAAUAUUUAUUUUUUAUACAAUACAAUCUAAAAAAUUUCACACUUACAGAUGCACUCUCCUAUACAACCACACGGGUAAAAUUUUCGAAUUCAUCCUACGAACUUAGAACUGUGGUCAACGUCUUUAACCAAUGAAACAAACGUUGGGUUCUAUAUUAAUGUCCAAUAUAAUAAUGAUAUACUAAUGAAAGAGAUUAUUAUUUUGAUGCAUAUAUCCCCAAUAUACUAAUUAAAUAGAUUAUAGGUUAAAUUUUUGGUAAUGUCGUUGCCAUUGGCGUUAUCACCUGUCAUUUUCAUUCAAUCAUUGGCGGCAAGAAUUAAAAAGUUAUAUUUUUGGGUGUCGUCAUUGUUAUUGGCUGCACCAAUAUUUGUACGUGUCCAAAAUACCUAUAAUUUGAGGGGAGAAUAGGAAAAAAUUUUAUUUUUUUAAUAGGUAGCGCCAUAGCCAUCGACCUGUCCAUGGGCCGGGUGGCCUGGCCCGGCCCGACUGUCCACCCGAAAUAUGGGAGGGUUUGGGUAAAAAUAUAGGCUCGAAAUAUGGGCUUGGGCAAAAUUUUAGGCCCGUUUAAAAAAUGGGCCGGGCCUCGGGCAAGAUUUUUUUGGCCCGGGCCCGAAAAAUAUUAAAUAUUUUUUUUAUUUUUAAAAUAUAAUAGUUUUUUUAUUUUAAGUUUAUUUACUUUCAUUUCCUUGACUAGUGUUACAAAAUAAUAAUAAUAAAACAUCAAGUUUGUUUUACUAAUCAAAUGUUAGAUUUUAUUACAACAAUUAAUAUAAUUAAUACAAUUAAUAAUUUGAUAAAUUUACUGAUCAAAUGUUAGAUUUUAUUACAACAAUUAAUACAAUUAACAAUUAAUAAUUUGAUAAUUUUAUUAACAAUUAAUUUUAAUAACAAUUAGUUUUAAUUUUAUUAAAAAAAUAAUUUUAAUUUUAAUUAAAAACGGGCCGGGCUCGGGCCCCAUAUUUUUUCUUUGGGCCGGGCCUGGGCAAAAUCUCAGGCCCAUAUUUCGGGCCGGGCCGGGCCCGGACCUAGUAAACGGGCUAAAAUUUUUUUGUGGGCCCGGCCCAUGGACAGGUCUACAUAGCCAUUGGCGUCACCAAAUUUGAAUUUUUUUUGUGGUGCCAUAGCCAUUUGCAUCACGCGUGUCAAAGAAUACUUAAUAUUUUUGGUGGUGCCAUAGGGAAUGGCGUGACCAAUGUCAAAUGGGGGAAUUGAUUUUUUUUUUUGUGGUUCCAUAGGCAUUGAUGUCACUCGUAUAAUUUUUUUCCUAUUAUUUGUUUUUUUUUUGUGGUGGCAUUAACAUUGGCGGCACUAAAAGGCUAUACAUACCCAUGCCCUUGAUGAAAGAUCAGUGUAUUUUUUUUUUUUACAAUUUUAUUAUGUUGAAGGAUGAAGGGGAGGGAGAAAUUUUUUUGAUUAGUUUUAGGGGAGGGAAGAUAGAAAUUUUUAGUGUUGAGAAAAUUGUGCAAACAAAACAGAAACAAUACAGAAGUUUGUUUACACAAUUCAAUUUCUCUAUGUCUGCGGAGCCUAGUUCAAUGAGUAACUUCGCUAUCUUUUGUCAUAAAUACAACAAGUGAUUCACACUCUAUCACUUCCAAAGUAUAAAGAUCUCAUCUUUGUACCUAAAGACUAGAAUACUCAUCUCUAGAUCCUCCCCCUAAGAACUUGGGUAGUAAACAAUUAACAAUGUUUACAAUUCAAUUUGCACUCUCUCACAAAGCCAUUCCUCAAUGAACAAAUUAGAAUGCACUCAAUAAGUUGUCUUACAAAACCUAUACAAGCCUCAAAGUAUAUAUCAGAUUCAGCUUGCUAACAUAGAAUUUAAGUGAAUACAAAGUAAUUCCUUGGAAUUGCUAUCACAAUCUCAAUAAUUAAAGUACAAUCAAUCGAAGAUCUGAUUUCCAUAACAACUACAAGAUCUUCAUCGAUCCUCCAUGUUUCAAGGGUUGAUUUGAUUCACUCAAAUCCAAUCCAACCUCCAAAUGCCUAGGAUUGAUUUUCCUUAGAUGGACCAUAAUAUCUUCAAAAAUGCUGAAUAUAACUAGGUUCAAAGAUUUUCUUCAUUAAAUUGUCAAACCAAAUAUGACAAGUUUUUAAACCACCUCAGUAGCAGUCUGCAAUUGGCUUUGUCAAGCGCCACUCAGCAACUCUCAACUUAUUUUGCCUCAACAUUAACAAUUUUAAGUAAUUUUUAGAACAUUUUUUUGAAUAUUUUAGGUUUUUUUAUAAAUUUUAAUAACUUUUGAAUUAUAUAUAUUAAAAUUUUUUAAUUCUUUUUAAUCUUUUUAAUUUUUAGAAUCAAAACCUAAAUGACAAAAUGGGUAAGCGUUAAGGGUCAAAAUUGUUGAAUUUUUUAAAAUCAAGACUAAAAUAACAAAAUGUGUAAACUUUAAUUUUGUUAUUAUACUAGCAAUUCAUCUUUUGACCAAAAGUAUUUUAAUGGAGUGGCUGCAAAUUACAAUUGAUCUAACGAGAGUGACUAAAACAAUAAAAAGAAUUGAGGUGACCAAAACUGGAGUGCUUUAAAACUUGGUAGACUAUUUAGGUAGUUUACUUUACUUUUCUUUUUUUGUAGUUAAAUUUUAAUUGAAAAACCUUCUUUCUAUUAUUGGAAUUGAGUUGAUCCGAAAUAAAAAUAAUCUUGUAGCUAUACCUAACCUGUUUUGGGUGCACCACACAUGUUGAAUAAGAAGAUUUUAGCAAAUAGUAUUUUUACUUUUUACAUAAAAUUCAGAAAAAUACAUACAUAUAUUGAAGUUUGAAUCCAAGAUACUAUAACAUCCACCCUUCAACCUUAGAUUCCAACCGAAGCUACAUCUGAUUUUUAUGCCAGAUUUCAAUAAACUUAUUACAUCAUUAUUUUUACUCAGAUCGUAGGUUAACCAAUCUAUUGUAUAUAAUUCUCUGAUCCAUCCUUAUAAUUCAAAAGCAUAUAUAUUUUGAAGGCCAAACAUGGUUACGAUACUCAGCAAGCGCCCACAGUGGAAAAACAUUUCUAUAUAUUGCAUAGUGUAACAUACAGUUCCUCAUGAAGACACCAGCCAGUCCCUGCCAUUUUUCAUUUGUUCCAAAAACCACAAAAUUUGUAUAUAUAUAGUUAAAUAUUUCUUUUCCUUUCCUUUUUUCUAAUGAUAGAUAUACAAAUAUAAAAAGUUACCUGCUGAGGAAAACCACCGUUUGGCAACUGAGAAUUUAUCAACAAUUUUGCAGCUCGAUGUAGAGGUGUAGGAUCCCUCUCAGCCUAUUUAGUAGCAUAUGCAUAUAUCUUAUAGUGAUUAGGAAAAUCAACACACCAAUAAUUUUAAAAUAUAUAGAAUCUUUGUUUUUGGGUACAUUAAGUCAUAAAAUCAUUGUUAAUUAUAUGUAAAGCAUACCUGGCCACUAACAAUUAAACUCAUCAUUGCUUGUGCAGUACUUACUAAAUUCGAUUCUUUUUCCUCAAUGGGUGUAUAUACCUUUCAUCAAAAACCAACAAAAAUAAAAGUACUUAUAAUUAUAUAUGUCAUUUACGGAGAGAAUUAAGUGCGAUAUGAGAUAAUGUGUGAUUUAGAUAAGAUAUUGAUGAGGGUGAGUCGAUUAUUUUGAAAGUUAUGUUAUUAAUUCUACUUUCAAUGGUAUUAUCUCUUAGAGAAGGUUUUUGUCUCUCGUACUAUUGAGACUUAAUAUGUCUUGAGGGCCUGGUUCACAGAGUUGAAAGCAUUCACUUAGUGAGUGGCUGUGCGCUCAUGUACAAACGAGGUGCUCCCUGCUCUGCGAACCAGACUCUCAAGGUAUGCUAGCUCUCAGAAGAACACGCAAGAUAAAACUCUUUCCGGAGACAAAACCUUCAAUUGUUGGGGGUUUGGUCAGCUAUUCAAGUGACGACACUUCGAAAAUUUCUCCCAAAUGAGCCGGUCCUCCCUCAGCAGAUAUAAAUCUUAAAAUUGUAUAUUAAUUUUGAUUUAAUACUCAUGAAAUAGAUUCAAUUAUUUUCAUUCUGAAUAAAUUUAUUUAUUUGUAUGUGUAAAAUUAUACUAGAUUAAUAUCUGCGUUAAUAAUUGGUGGAAAGUAAAUCAUACUUAAAAUUUCAUAUAUAGAUUAAACAAAAAUCUAAAUUCAUUUAUCAUAUUAUAUUAUACUAUCCUUUCAAUUAAAUGAAGAAAAGAAAACCUUCUUUAAAUAUUAAUUACCUUUUUGGGACAAGAAAGGUAACUCUCUCCCCAACCACCAUCUUCUCUUUGGGUUCUAAGCAAAAAAUCAACUCCUUUCCGAAUAGCCAAGCAAUUUUCGAAGUUCUUCCCAGCAGCUUUAAGACCUAAGAGUGCAAACCAUGUCCCAUAAAAGAAGCAAAUUCCCCAAUUUCCAUACCUACACACACACAUAUAUAUAGGAAUUAUAUAUCCAUCCCAUCAAAUUUCAUGUUUUGAAGAAAUGAAAAGGCCUUAUUAAGUCCUUACCAAGAACCAUCGGGAUAUCGUAUAUCUUCAAUGUACUUUGCAGCUUUUCUGAUGCAAUUUUCAAUCUCUUGUUCUCUAUGCCCUGGGUAUAGUUUCUUGAAAAGAACUAGUGCCUGGAUUGAAGAUGAAGUGCACUCUACAUACCUGGAGUUUUACGUUUGUUUUUUUUCUCUCCUUUCAUUAAUAUAUAAUUUUAUAAAUUGGUUUCUUUUACAUUAGAUAAUUAAUGAAAUUUAUUAACGGAAAAGGUGAGCUUCUUACUCAUAUUCUUUAACUAGAUCCUCUAGAAACUCGACUGGAUUUAGCCACUAAAAAGAUAAUUUAAGGUGAAAAGUUAUUGAUAGCAAAUGUAAUGACAUAUAUAUAAAGACUAAUCCAAAAAUUGAAAUAGUUAUUACCUCCCACCAGAAUCCACCUCCUGCUGGCUCCCAAGCUGAGAAACCACCAUUUUUGCUCUGCAAUAAUUUGUAUCAUAGAAUAUACUUAAGACCAAGAUAUUCAUCAUAUAAGGACAAAUUAAGAGAAGGCUUGACAUCAGAAAAUGGUAAAUUUACCAUAGAGAUUCUUUAAAUUUUAUCAAAUCAUAAUAAUUUAUUAUUUAAUUCUAAAAUUAUACCUUCCCCCACAAAAAUUAUUAUUCAUUUUUUUGGUUCCGCUAAAGUCCCUAUUGGUAUUACAAUCUAUACCUGUAAAGAUAGAAGAACAUUGACAGCAUCAUAGACAUGCUCUCUUUCCAUUUUCUCACCAACCAUUUCAGGUGCCAUCA
rnacentral:lncRNA from 1 species